AGGGACAAACUCCUCUUAUGCUAUGACAACAAAGCUACCAUCAGUAUAUCUCACAAUUCGGUUCAACAUGACCGAACGAAGCAUAUAGAGAUUGAUUGAUACUUUACUAAAAAGAAAUUAAUAAAUAAUGUCUUGAGAUUAGAUCAUGUGACUUCUGAUGAACAGCUAGCUUAUGUGUUUACCAAAUGGCUCAACAAUAAGAUCUAUCACACCUUGGUUUGCAAGUUGUGCAUGUAUGAUAUUUAUGCAUCAAUUUGAGAGGGAGUGUUGACCAAAAUACAAGGUUCCUAAUUAGGAGGAUUCAAAUCUUUGGAAUCCUAAUUAGGCUUGAUUAUAGGGAUUUUAUUUUUAUUAUAAAUAUUUCUAAUUUAGGUUGAUUUUUUAUGUAUAAAUACUCAAACCUUGUAGAGAUUAAUUCAAUUGGAAUAGAAUAAAAAAUUCCUCAACUCUUCAAUAGAUAUGAGAGAGAAGGAGUUAACAUCCUUUGUGCUUAAAAUUUACUGCUUAGAAUAAGCACCAUCCUCUACAUGUGUUUUUUAUAUUUUGUCUUAAUGUAUUUAUUAGGAAAUUCUUGUUUAAGAAAAUGCAUUCUAGGUUAAACAUGCACAUUCAAAACAAACAUCACUCUUUUCACAUGAAUCUAUUCAGCCUAGCAUGUGAGGUUUCUACUUUAUUUUAGGUGAGACAUUAUUAUAUUUUCCUAAUCACAUGUUCCUAAGUCUAAUUUUAUGCCAAUGUCCACUUUGCACAUGAGUGGUGUUCCUAAGCAUGCACAAUUUUUAUGUUUGAUUCGGCACCUUGUAAAGAAAGGAUCACUAUGUUUGUGACAUACAUUUGGAGUUAAUUUUAUGGCCAUCUUAUUGUAAGGAUAUUACUAAGUCAUCUUCAUGCCAAAGUGAGAAACAAUCUCUAAGCAUGCCAACUAUGUCUCUAACAUGCCAAGUUAAUUUUAGAAUUACCAAGUGACUUUACCUAUCUUACUAGGUUUAUUUCAUUUAUUUUUUAGGUGAGGAAAGUAAGUAAAACAUCUAAAGAAAGGGAGAGGAGAAAAGAAUUAUAAUCCUUUAAGAGUAAAAUGAAACUAAGCUAGCUAUUAUAUACUAUUACAAGGUCCAUUGGCCAAAUUCCCUAUGUAAAAGACCUUCAAAGUUAGGCUCUUGGACCACCAAAGGAAUUGGACCCUUAAUGCAUUUCUAGGGCAAGCCAAAUGACACUCUAAAGGAAGCAACUUUCCAUGCACAAGGGCUAACCCAUUCGAAUAACAUUGAAUUAAGUUGUUGUUUUGCUUAUUUUUAUAACAAUUCAGAAACCAGACCGCUACAGAUGCUAGGGUUCAAAUCAACUUAAGGUUAUCAGAGACCGUAGAAAGCCUAUUAUACAUCUUAUUAUAUUUGAUAUAAUACCAAUUUGAUCAUAAAACUUACAUGCAUUAUUAUCAUAACAUGAACAAAACUCAGUAUGUGCAUAUAUCCAUAACUGAUAACAUAAAUCUAUACUAGAGCCCUCAUCAAAUGCUCUAGUAUAGUUAUCAUUACAUACCAUAAUUUGAUUCAAACAUAACUUAAAUUUAAAACUUUUACACAAGAAUAUCAUUAACUAGGGGAUCAUAAAAGAAAAACCUGGGCAAAGUACAGUACUAAAUCAUAGUAUAUUACAUGUUCAUAACUAAACUAUUACAUAAAGAGCUAUACCAAAGGACACUAUUGAACUCUUAUGCUAACUCUAAUCCUGCAAACCUAGAGUUAGGGGAGAGGAAUAAGCUACUAGAGCCUAGUUAGUAAAAAUAUGGCAUAAAAAAGUUUAAUAAAACAUAUGCUCACAUUAAUGUGUCAUAACAUAAACAAUUCACAUCAAAAUAGACUUGUCACCAGUAACCCUCCAUAAAUUCCAAUAGUGCUUGGCCCACAACAAGUGCUCCUUCGAACUUCUUCUUAAAAAUAAACAUAACCAUAACGCUAGAGGUGUAGAAUGGGUAUCCUGGUCUUUCCUUACAUAAUGUCAGGGGCAUAGAAUAUGUCUUGACCUAAACUUCCAUAUCUGUCAUAUAUAACAUAUCACAUCAUGCUCAAGGACUAGUGGAUCAUCCAACAUUCAUCAUCAACAACAAUUAAUUAUGCAAUGCAUCAUAUUCAUGAAUUCUAAUACAAAAUAAACUAUUCAUAUAUAUAUAUAUCCUUUGUGAUGCAUGAAUAUGCUUAAAAGCCUUUAAUUCAAUAAAAAAAAUAGUAGUUUAGUUAGUUCUACUCAUCUCUAGUGGACACUGCCUCUCUUUGAAGUAGUUAUCUCGCUAUUGGCCUUUAUUGUCUCCCAAGUCUGAUCCUACACAGACUUACUUAAAUGAGGGAUCAAAUAUAACUUUUAUAACUCUUAAAACUAUUCCAAGAAACUCUUAAAAGCUUAUUAGAAAAUACGUAAAAAAUGGACUAGUAUCGGCUGAAUAGGGGACUUUCGGCAGCAAGUUUGGCAGCCUAAAGUCCUCUACAGAUCUGAAAGUCCUAACUUUCAGAAGCCUUCAUAAGCAGGCUCGACUGCAUGCAGAACCCGAUUCUACCUCUACACCACAGCCUCUAGAACACAACCAAAGCCGUAACAGCUAAAAACCAUAUAUUUACAACUCAGAACACAAAAGACUAUUCUAAACUAACCUAAACUUCAACAUGCAUUCAUUAAAUCAAAGAGAUACGAAUUUUAUCUUUAAACAACCUAUAAACCAAAGCUUUAAACUUAAGACCAAUCACAUAAGUCAUAUGCAAGGGCAGAUGUUACAUAUAAGUUAAAAAAAACAUAAAUGGACCAAAAUUAAAGCCUACCUUAAACAGGUUCUUCUCUAACAACAACGAGGAAGGAGGAGAGGAUUCUUGAAAUGAAAACCUUAAACUUGAAAUUCCAAGAAUUUGGGCUGUACUGACUACUGCCUGAAAUAAAGAGGAAAUGCUCUCCAUUUUCGAGUAAGAAGCCCUUUUAUAAGUGGGUCUGCCAGCUAAUGUUCGGCGGUAAAACCUUAAAAUUUUCUAGAACUCUUUUUUAAAGAAAAACACAUUUUCAAAAUACUUAAAAUUCAUUUUGUAAAAACCCAUUUUACCCUUUUAAGAUUUUCGAUUAUGAGAUUCUGAAUUCCAACGAAGAUUCUUUUAGGAAUUUAGAAUUUUGACACCGAAAUUUAGUUGGGUUUUACUAUUUUGUUUGGUAGUUAUUGAUCCGGACAAGUAAAACUAUGCUUGAAUCUAGAGUGGUAAAAGAGAAGAGUGUGUGAGCUCAUUAAAGGGUAAAAGCCUUCUUGUUGAGUGAAAUACGAGUGCUUCCAUUAUGAUUUUGAGAGAAACACAUGAGGGAGUACGUGAGGUACUUUUCUAAUGUGUUUUUCAUAUUUAUAUCAUGUUUAAUUCUAAGGGUGGUAAAGAGAGUUAAAAAAGAUGAGAAGAGUAGUGAUGUUAAGCAAAAUACAUUUAUGACUCUAAAGGCCAUGCAACAUCAAUUUUAGAGAGUUGAGAACUUGUUUAGAGAUGUUAGUGACAAGUUUGAUAGACAAGGUCAAGCCAUUUGAGACAUGCAAAGGGAAGCUUCAAAAAUAUAGGAUCGACUAGUUAUACAAAGGAAAAUUGUGUCUAUAUGGCAUGGGGGCAGAAAGCUGUGACUGUAUCGCUUAGAAGUUGAGAAACUAUAUAACACAUGACGUAUCGAAAAUAUCAUAUCAUAUGGCCCAUUAGGGCACAAUACUACUAAACUAUAUAUGGCAUACCACACCCUUAUCCUGUUUAUGACUCAUACUAAAUUUACCAUGGGCAAGUAUCUUUAGUUUAAUAUCUCAAAUUAUUUAAAGUAAAUACAAAUGUCAUUUGAAGCCAUUUCAAGUCUUUUUUAAAAUAUAUACAUCAUAUAUCAAUGAUAACAAGAAGAGAAAUUCAUAGCAAAUAGUGUAUAACUUUAUCGACUUAGCAUUCCAAAUAUUGUAACAAUUCAAUUUGGCUUUUGCAUUUCACACUACUAAGAAGUAUAGAAUGGUAAAUUUUACUCACCUCAUAAUGCACAAUAAGUUUGAUUGAAAAGUGACCACGUGUGUAAAGCAAACACAUGUGUAAUUCCCACCGAUUAAUCAAGCAUGACAAACUGUAAGUUUAUAAGCAAGCAUGUUGAAAAAAUGAGCUCUUGAAAUCAUACAUGUGUGUGUAAUAGACCAUAUUCAGUUAUGAGUAUAUUGCUGAUUUAUUAAGAAAAUAUGUGUAAAGUUUUAUUUUAUUAAGCUAGCACGUGCAUAAAGCAGGCACGUCAAGCUAGCACGUCAAACUAGCACGUGCGUAAUUAAUUUGGUUGCAAAGUGAGCAUUUCAAUCCCUUUUAGGUCAAUAUUCAAAUUUAGAUUUGUUUCUGCCUGAUUUUGUGUCACAAUUUAAAGUGCCUUAGGGAUAGAAUUUGAUUAAACUUUCUUCAUGAACAUUGUGUGUUUAUACCUUAGCAUUCUAACAAGAUAUGGUACAUCUAAUUCUGAUCUUCCUAACUCAAGUUAUAAAUUUUUAUUUAUAAGCUGCCCAAUCAGUUUUUAACCAGUCCAGUGUUAGUACUUGUUUUUAGUCUAAUAAAACAUAUCAGAUGCAUACAUUUGCAUAUAAUUUCAAGCUUAAAUGUCUUCUAUAAAGUUUUAGGUAUAAUUUUCAAGAUUCAUUUAACACUAGUCUUAAUUCAUUUCAUUAAAUACAUAAUUAGUUAUGAUAUAAGAAAUAUAAAUUAUUUUGGAUGCAUUAUCCCUGCGACCAGUUUAGGUUCACUUGUAAUUUACAUAAAUUUAGCUAUAAAUUCAAAAUUUUAUCACUUCAUGAAAUCUUUAUCUCUUUGUCUCAACUUUCAUUUGGUAUAUUUUAGGUGUAAUUUUAAUAAACAUACAAUGAGUUAUGAAGCUGCCAAUAUAGGUUAUCCCAUUAAAACUUAUUCUACUAGAUUUGCACUUUUAAUUCCCAUAUUAAAUUUUUUUGCUUUAAACCUCUCAAACAUCAUUCCAACAUUCAUAUUACAUAUUUAUACAAUUAAAAUAAUAUUUUCAGCAAUAAAAAUCAAUCUCUAAUUUUACAUAUUCAUGAGAAAAUAAAAGAAAAAAUAAAAAAUCAUACAAACACCAAAUGUUUUUGCAAAAUUCUUUUUCUUUAAAAUUUCUUUGGUUUUCAAGUUUUGGAUACUUGAAACUCUAACUUUUCCUUCUUCAAAUAUUUUAAUUUAUAUCUUAUUUUCUUGCUCUUGAUAUAAAAAUGAACUUUGGUUGAAGGAUUUGGCUUAGAUUUGAUGGAAAUGAAGAAAACUAAGCUCACCUUUAUUCUUUCAUGUAGGGAUUUCCGCCAAGGCUUCCAAAAUAAAUAAUACAACAUUUUCUUUUUGCUUUAUCACUUAUUUUGAGUUUAUUUAGAUGACAUAUAGGAGGCUAAGUUGAAGAGGUAGUAAAAAUGAAGGACUAAACUUGAAUUCUACUUUUAAACUUUCUAUAUUCACACUUUAACCUACUAAACUCUUUACCAUAUUUUAGUUUAGUUUUUAAAUUUUUAAUAUUCAUUGAUUGACCUACUAAUAUUUACUUUUAACUUUUAAAAGUCCAUUUCAUUUAGGUAAACACAUCGAAUUUAACAAGUAUUUUAAGCUAACACGGUAAUGAACGUCCAUUAGUUUAAAGAAUCAAGAGACAUGUUCGAGGGCAAAUUUUUAUAUGUAUUUAAAAGUUUAUUAUUAAAUAAUAUUAUAAAUAUUAUAUAUAAUAAUUUCACAAUAUUAUGUAAAAUCUUUUUAAAGUAAUUAAUUAUGUAUCCAAAAAUGUGUUGCAUCACGUGAAAUAAAUAUACUUUUAAUAAUAGUCAAUUGACAAUAGAAAUAGAAAUGACCUUAUCACAUAUUUUGAAUGACAUUCCAUACAUUUUCAGUUUUCAUAAAUCAUGAUUAGUGUCUAGUAUAAUAUGCCAUGGCUAUCCUAGUAGCAGUAAAUGUACUAUUCCUUCAAUCCGAACCAUGAUCAUAAAUUAUCAUGCUCUAGAAUUCUUUCGCUGUAGAAUUCCAGUCCAAAUUAGGGUCACGAUAAAUAUCAAACCCCAAAACUUUAUAACAUAUGACCAUUGCUUAAUUCAAAUUAUUGAUUAGCAAAACUUACAUUAUAAAAUAUUUUCUAAUUAAGAUAUUAUCUCGCUCAAGGAUUUAUUAUCAAGAAUAAUUAACUUGAUCAUAAGAUUUUGCCUAUUUAUAUGAGGUAACGAAUCCUGCCUUGACUGACUCCUUACAUUUCUGUACAACUUAAACCAACACUCACCAUAUUCUCAUACAUUAUACAAGUAUGUAAAUAGUAUCAAACUCAAACCACUUAUACAUGAGACAAGUGCAGUUUCAGGUCUAUGGACUAUAUGCAUUACCAUGAUCUAGAUGAACGAACAAUGACAAGUGCAGUCUCAGGUCUAUGGACUAUAUGCACGGCUCUAGAGUAUAUAUUUUUGAUGCAUAUAUUAUAUAAUAAUAAACUUAUAAAUCUCAUUAUAUAUGUAUUAUCAUUAUAUAUUCCAAUAAAAUAUACUCCAUCUGUCACAUAAUUUUUAUCUAUAUUUUAUUUUUUGAUUAUCCUAAAAUUAUUAUCUAUUUUUAAACUAUAAUAAUAUAUAAGUUGAUUAUUAUAAUCCUAUUUAAUUUUGUCUUAUUUAUAAGAAACUUCAAAACCUAUCUUAUUAUUUAAUAAAACUUAAUACAUUUCAGAUGGAUAUAAUUGAAAAAUUAAUAAAAAAUUAUAUUUCUUGUGAAAAAGCAUAAUAAAUAAAAAUUAUGGAAUAAAAAAAUAUUAUAAUAAAAUAAAUAUUAUUUAUUACCAUAACAAUAAAAAAGGAAUAUUGAAAAUGUAGAUCUAAAAAUAUAUUUACAUGUAGUAUGAGUAAUAAGUGGUCUAUGAUUUGAGGGAAGACUACUAAAUUGCUAAGGUUAAAGAAAGACGGUAAUGACAUAACUCAACAAAGGAGUUUUGCUUGUAUCACAUUCUGUUUAUAAAUUAGAAAAAAUUUCAAUAGGUAAAUUAUAUUUCAUCAAAAAAUAAAAUAAAUAAAUUCACUUGUUUCACAGAAUUAUUCUUAGUUAUGUCUUUUCCUCUUUACUUUUUAUAUUCUCAUUUAGAGAUGGAGUAUAUGGGGAUCAACAAGAUUCUAAAAUCAGGGAAUUAGCUGAUUUCAAUCAUUUAAAAGAUAAUUAAUGAAAAAUUAGAUGAAAAAAUUUCAAUUUCAUGUCAAUAGAAAAAUAUAUGGCUUAUUUUGAUAUAACUUGGACUUAAAAUUAAUUUAUGAUUUUUUUUUUUUUAUAUUUAACGAAUAAAACGACCGUGUUUAUUGGUUAUUUAUAUAAGUAAUAUGAUAAAAUUCCACGUAUAAAACCCGAAAAGAAUAGGCAAGCAAUAAAAAACCCCCCCGAAACCGUAGCUUUAUAUUUUUUGGGAUUAAAAAAAAAAUCUCAGAUUCUUUCUUCUACAGUUCAACUGGACUGCCACUGAAGCUUGCUCGUUGUCUCCCUCUGGUAAGCUCCCCCCUCUCUCCCAGUCGCUCUCACUCACUCAAGUUGAAGAAUUCUGUGGAUAGGCAUAUGCAUGUCUUUAUGUAUUUUGGCGCAUGAUUCAUUUGAUUUGAUUUGAUUUGAUUUUUGGUGUGUGUUUGGUUCCUGAGAAAUGGAGGAAAGGAAAUGAAAAAAUACGGAAUUUUCUUUCCGCGUUUUGUUUUUAUUGUUGAAUGGAGUUGAGAAGUGUGCAAAGGGCAUGGACUUCAACUGAAUUGAGAAUAUAAUCUUAUUGGGAUUAGUGGUUGCUUCUUUCUUUUUCUUUUUCCCAUAUUCCCUCGUUUGGGCGCUCCUCUUUUUUUUUUUUUCCCCUCACUUUACUGAAGUUAUUUUGCUGUCUCCAGUUUCUCGGAAAUGUCUUUUCUCUUUAUGUGUGUUUGUGUCUCAAACCAGUUCUUUGGAUUUUUAGUGGCUUUGGGUUUUUUCUUAGCAGAUAACUAGUCAUAUGAUAUGCAUAGCUGUAACUUUACUUUAUAUCUAUCUCUUCUCUCUUUGUAUUUUUCUGUCAUAUGAAUUUGAAUUGAGGCUUAACUUCAUCAGCAAUUGUUCUAACUGUUGUUUUUUCAAGGAAGUGUGGCCAAAGCUAAUUACUAAAAUUUGCUUCUCUCUAUUUUUUGUUAAUAUAUUCUGAAUAAACCUUCUAUAAAUGGAAGGAAAUAUACUUUGAAUUCCUUUUCUGAGCAUUGAGAAGCGGCAAUGCAUUGGGGGGUUCAAAUAAAAAAGAAAUGCAUUGGGGGGUUCAAAUAAAAAAGAAGUCUUCCUGUUGAGGCGAAAUUUUAGAUAUUUUGUUCAGGUGUUUAGAUAAUCUCAGUUGUUUGACUAGCUGCUUCUUUGAAGAUAUUCAAUGGUAAAAUUUUGCUUUAUCAAAAUGUUAAUCUCAGGGCCACUGACUCCAAUUGGUGGUUUCCAGUCCGUUUCAUUUUUCCUUUUGGGAUAAACUCUGCUAGUUUAAGCUAAAUUUUACUUCACUUGCCACAGGCUCAGUAUAAUAUGAAUUUGCUGGGAAAUUCGCCAAAUGUUUCUUCUCUGCUCAAUCAGAGUUUUGGAAAUGAGAAUUCAAGCACCAGUCUGUCAAGCCUGGGGGGUUUUCAGCAUGGAAUUGCAGAUACUAUGAUAGAAUCUAAUCCAGUUUCUAAGGUACCAAAUGAUGUUGGUUGCACUCCACCUUCUGCACCUACAAAGUUGUUGAAUUCUGUUUCUUCUAGCCAAAUUCCAAGCCAUUCUGGAAGCUCAACAUUGUCAGAUCAGCAGCAAAUUCAAACAUUUGAGCCACGGAGGUUCCAACAUGGCCAGCAGUCACUGCAGCAGUUUCCUGUUUCAUGCAGUCAAGCACAACAACAACUGCCACAGUUCCAAUCUAUUAGAGGCGGGUUAGGAGUGGGGGCGUCUGUAGUCCCUGUCAAGUUGGAGCCAGACGUAAUGAAUGAUCAAAUUGGCCUGCAGUCAAAGUUGCUGCAAAGCCUUGGUCCAGUGAAGCUAGAACUGCAACAGAAUCAGAUUGGAAGAGGCAUAGGACCUGUAAAAUUGGAAAAUCAGCAUUCUGAUCAAGCACUGUUUCUUCAGCAGCAGCAGCAGCAGCAGCUCCUCCACAUGUCCAGGCAGUCUUCUCAAGCUGCCAUUGCACAGAUGAAUUUCUUAUGGCAGCAGCGCAUUUUGCAGCAGCAGCUGCUGGGACCACGGCCUCAGCCACAUCAGCAGUCUCAACAACAGAAAGGGCCCAUUAGAUCUGCUGUGAAACCAAUCUAUGAACCUGGAACCUGUGCUCAGCGAUUGAUUCAAUACAUGUAUCAGCAGCAGCAUAGACCUGCUGUAAGAUUAUUUUUUCUUGGGAACUGAAUAUUUGUCAGCCUUUGUUGUCUUACCAAUUUUUUUGUUGUGAUUGAUGCUUUAUUCAGGAUAACAACAUUGUGAUUCUUUAUUCAGGAUAACAACAUUGAGUUCUGGCGGAAAUUUGUUUUGGAAUUUUUUUCUCACAAUGCCAGGAAGAGAUGGUGUGUUUCAUUGUAUGGGAAUAGCCGCCAAACUAAUGGUGUUUUUCAUCAGGUAUGUGUGAUAAAGGCCAAUUAGUUUAUACUUAGUGAGGGAAAAAAACAGAUGUUUUCUGGGGAAAGAGGCAGGGGAUAAAAAGGCCAUUGCUCAUUUAUGGGAUAAAAGAAUUUUUGGUGGUCUAUCUUUAUUAGCAUUAACUAGACCCACUUUUUUCCCUCACAUUUUACUGUGAUAGGGAUGAUGAUCAUGUGCACUUAGAUUAUAUUAAUGUGUAGUUUCAGAUCCUGGAUGUUUUCCUGUCUUAUACUACUUUUUUAAACAAGUGGCCUCAACAUGUGCUCCUGUUUCAAUGCCCUUGCGUGCCUGUAUAUUAGAAUUUCUUACUUUCUGGUGUGCUUGUGACAAGCUUGUGAUGAAAGUUAUCUGAUGACUAGGAAAUGCUUAUGUUAUGGUAUCAAAUUUCUUCUGUUGAUCUAAUAGAAUACUUGUAACAUACUUGCAAUGUUUGCAGGAUUUAUGGCAUUGUGAAAUAUGCAAUCGCAAACCUGGUCGUGGUUUUGGUAUGCUAUUUUUUGCUGCUUCAAUUUUUUUGUUAUUUUCCAUUAAUUUAUGGGAGACACUUGGUGCUUUUUGUCACUUUGAGUAAAUUAUGCCACUUAGUAUGUGUACAUUAUUCAAUUUCUUUCUAACUAUUCUGCAUCUUGUGUUGUGGAGUGAAGUUCAGAAUUUCUGGUUUGUGCUUAGGUUCUUUGAUAUAUCCACAAUAUUUUCAAUUUCAAGGUUUUACAGCUGGACAUUGGUGGAUGCAUUACCCCUUAGGAUCUGAAAAACUUUUUUUUUUAAAAGUUUUUGUUUCAAUGACUAGAACAAGCUUGCUUGCUUCAUGAUAUGAUAGUGUUUUAUUCAAAGGUUAGAAACUUUAUCCUUUACCUUCAACUAAAGAUGCCACAUUGCAGGCAUUUAUCUUGAUGAAGUUUAGGGUUUCUGUUGCAUCUGCUUUAGUUGAUUAAUGUUGCCACAUACAUGGUGGGUUACAGAUUACAUAUGAGUUGUUGCCUUCUCAGAAUAUGUCAAAAGAAAAAGCUUUGUUGAAGAAUUGGAUGAAAUGAUUACUGAAAUGGCGUGAAUAAUUUGGAUAAUUUGCUUGUGGCAAAGCCAAGGGUGAUACAUUGCUAAACUCAUGAAAUACAAUAGAAAAGAAAGUAAAAGGAAAUCUAGCUCAAACUAGCCCGGCCAAAGCCGAAUUACAUUAAUUAAACCAUGCAUACCCUCUCUGCUCUCUCCCUCUUCUUAAAACCCUUCUGUCAUGAUAGCUCACUCCCCUCUAGACGGUCGCUCCGCAAUUUCCUCUAACCGUAUAACCUCCUCGAAACUUUGAUGAAAAGAGAGUAGAAGAUUUGAGAGAAAAAUGCUUGAUAAUUCCCAUCAAGCCAAUUGGGGUAUAUAUACUACUUACAAGAGUACAUACUAGGUAAGAAAAUAAAUUAAUUCCCUAAUUAUAGCCUAAUCAUAUCCCAAUCAUAUCACACAAUCAUAUUCCUAAUUAUCACUACAAAUCUAGGCUAUUUACAGAAAUAAUCUCAAUAUAUAGAAAUAAUUUCAACACUCCCCCUCAAGCUGGAGCGUACAUAUCUUAUGCUCCAAGCUUGUUACAAAUAUACUCUAUUCGUGAUCCUCGAAGUGAUUUUGUGAACACAUCAGCUAGUUGAUCAUUUGAGUUGACAAAGCUAGUAGAAAUGCAUCCGGACUCAAUCUUUUGCCUAAUAAAGUGGCAAUCCACCUCUAUAUGCUUCGUCCUCUCAUGAAAACUGGAUUUGAUGCAAUAUGGAGGGCUGCUUGAUUAUCACAUAUCAACUUCAUUUGACCAAUAUCGCUAUAUUUCAAUUCCUGAAGGAGUUGCUUCAACCAAAUGAGUUCACAUGUCCCUAAAGCCAUAGCUCGAUAUUCUGCUUCUGCACUUGAUCUUGCUACCACACUCUGUUUUUUACUUUUCCAGGAUAUAAGAUUCCCUCCAAUCAUAAUACAAUAUCCUGAAGUAGAUCGUCUAUUUGAAGGAGAACCUAUUUGAUGCAAUAUGGAGGGCUGCUUGAUUAUCACAUAUCAACUUCAUUUGACCAAUAUUGCUAUAUUUCAAUUCCUGAAGGAGUUGCUUCAACCAAAUGAGUUCACAUGUCCCUAAAGCCAUAGCUCGAUAUUCUGCUUCUGCACUUGAUCUUGCUACCACACUCUGUUUUUUACUUUUCCAGGAUAUAAGAUUCCCUCCAAUCAUAAUACAAUAUCCUGAAGUAGAUCGUCUAUUUGAAGGAGAACCUGCCCAGUCUGCAUCAGAAUAGCCAACAAUUUGUGAGUGACCCUUGUCCUCAUAGAGUAGUCCUUGUCCUGGAGCUCCUUUGACAUAUUUGAGAAUGCGAAUGACUGCAUCCCAGUGACUACUGUAUGGAUUUUGAAGAAAUUGACUAACUACACUUACAGCAAAGGAAAUAUCUGGUCGAGUGAUAGUGAGAUAAUUGAGCUUGCUGACCAAUCUUCUGUAUCUAGCAGGGUCUUUAAGUGGUUCCCCCUGUUCAGGAACCAGUUUGACAUUUGGAUCCAUGGGAGUAUCCACAUGUCUACAGUCUAACAUGCCUGUUUCUUCCAAUAUGUCCAAAGCAUAUUUUCGUUGAGAAAUUGCGAUACCUGUUUUAGACUGUGCCACUUUAAUCCCUAAGAAAUACUUCAAUUUUCCAAGGUCUUUAGUUUGGAAAUGACUGAACAAAUGUUGCUUAAGCUGAGAGAUUCCAUCAUGGUCAUUUCCUGUAAUGACAAUAUCAUCAACAUAGACCACCAAGUAGAUGCAUCUAUAUAUUGAGAUUAUUUCUGUAAAUAGCCUAGAUUUGUAGUGAUAAUUAGGAAUAUGAUUGUGUGAUAUGAUUGGGAUAUGAUUAGGCUAUAAUUAGGGAAUUAAUUUAUUUUCUUACCUAGUAUGUACUCUUGUAAGUAGUAUAUAUACCCCAAUUGGCUUGAUGGGAAUUAUCAAGCAUUUUUCUCUCAAAUCUUCUACUCUCUUUUCAUCAAAGUUUCAUGGUAUCAGAGCCAAGAAAUUUGGUUCACCUUUGAGUGGCAGACCUGCCACCUUACUUUGGUGACUUUCUGGAAAUCAGUUAGUCUCACCACCCAGCCCAUUCCCCACGCCGGCCUCUGAUCUAUUUUCCGGCGAAGCACCGCCUCCGGACGGGCCUCCACGCGCCACCCUGCACAGAUUGCUUCCGGCCACGCACCGGCGCGUGCACCACUUUCCGGCGACCGUUUCACGCCGGCGAUCCUUCUCCCAGCUUCGCCCGGCUCCGGCGACCACAGCCCAGUAGGUCCGGUUGUCAGAUCAGCCCGCCUUCACACGUUAGAUCAUCCACGCGCGGAUGCGUGCACAUCCUCCGGCGACCGUUUCAUGCCGGCGACUCUUCCUCCAGCCUCGCCCGACGCCUGCGACCCCAGCCCAGUAAGUCCGAUAGUCAGAUUUACUGUUCACAGGCGCUUUUUUGGCAAAUUCGGCUCCUUUUUUGCAGAUUCGGGUCUCUAUUUGGUCCCUUGUUGUUUCAGAAUCUCUCUCGACAUGUCUGAGAAGCAAAACACCCGCAAUACAGGUUCUGAGUCUCUUAAACUUGUCUUUCAAUUGCUACGGUUAAGUUGCAAGGGAAUAAUAAUUAUGUGUCUUGGGCUGCAUCCGUAGAAUUAUGGUUUGUGGGAAAGGGAUAUAAUGAUCAUUUAACAAAAAACGCCACUGAUAUCACUGUAAUUGAUAGACCCAACUGGGUUAAGAUUGAUGCUCAACUAUGUAGUCUUUUGUGGCAUUCGUUGGAUCCAAAAUUGCUUGCUUUGUUUCAAUCUUGUAAAACUUGUUGUAAGGUUUGGACUAAGGCCAAAACGUUGAAUACUAAUGAUAUACAAUGCAUCUAUAAGCUUGUGUCAGAUAUGGUUCACUUAUAAUAAAAUCAUCAGGAUAUGGCUAGUUACUUGGGUCAAGUAGACACUCUGAAAGAUGAAUUUAAUUCUCUUAUGCCCCUUACUAAUGUUGUUGAUGCGCAAGAAGGACAACGUGAUAAAUUUUUUAUGGUUUUGGCAUUAAUUGGAUUGCGAUCUGACCUUUGCUCUGUGAAAGAUCAAAUUUUGACUGGUUCAGUUAUUCCAACUUUAGAAGAUGUGUCAGCUAGGCUCUUACGUAUUUCCCUUAGUAAGAGUGAUGCUACAGAUAUGGAAUCCUCAGUCUUGGCUGAACAAGGAAAUCAAGGACAAGGAGGCAAUCGCAAAGGUAAAGGAAAGAAAUUUCAUUGCACUUAUUGUGAUAAAAAGGGUCACACACGGGAUGCAUGUUGGGCACUACAUGGCCGACCACCAUGGUCCAAUCAAUCUGAUAAUACUGGCAAGCCGGCAGCCCAUCUUGCCCAAUCUAAUGAAGGUCUGCUUCCACAACCUACCUAUAAUUCUCAGAACCUAGAUUCAAUUACUUUAAUUGGAGAGGACUAUAAAGAAUACUUGUAGUUCCAAGCAGCUAAGCAACAUCCUCCAUCUACCAGCAUUGCUCACUCCGGUAAUUCCUUUGCUUGUCUAACUAAGUCUUCACCUGUUGGUCCAUGGAUCCUAGACUUUGGUGCUUCUGAUCACAUCUUUGGUAAUCACAAUCUUUUCUCUACUCUUGUUUCACCUUCUACACCAUCUAAAGUCACCCUAGCUAAUGGUUCACAAACUCAAGUUAAAGGAAUAGGAGAUGUACAACUUCUUUCUUCUAUUCCCUUAACUACCGUCUUGUUCACUCCUGAAUGUCCAUAUAAUUUAAUCUCCAUUAGCAAAUUGACCAAAAACCUUAAUUGUUCAGUAACCUUUACUGCUGAUUCUGUUGUUGUGUAGGACCGAAGUACUGGGAGAAUGAUUGGAACAGGAUCUGAGUCACAAGGAUUGUACCACCUUUCCACCUCUUCAGUUGCUUUUGUUUCUACUACGUCCGCUGAGUUUAUUCAUAACCGUUUGGGACAUCCUAGUCUUCUCAAAUUGCAGAAAAUCGUCCCCAGUCUUUCUUCUUUGUCUUCUUUGUCCUGUGAGUCAUGUCAACUUGGGAAACAAACUCGGGCUUCAUUUCCCAAGCGAGUCAAUAACAGGGCCACUUCGAUGUUUGAUAUUGUUCAUUCAGAUAUUUGGGGUCCAAGUCGUGUCAGUACAACUUUGGGAUUUCAGUAUUUUGUUACUUUUAUUGAUGAUUAUUCUCGUUGCACUUGGUUGUUUUUAAUGAAGAAUCGAUCUGAGUUAUUCUCCAUUUUUCAAAAAUUUUGUGCUGAGAUACAUAAUCAAUUUGGUGUUCGCAUUAAGGUUUUGCGUAGUGAUAAUGCACGAGAAUAUCUUUCCUCCUCUUUUUCUCAUUUCAUGUCUACUCAGGGUAUUACUCACCAGACUUCUUGUGCCCAUACUCCUCAACAAAAUGGUGUUGCCGAGCGCAAAAAUCGGCAUUUGAUUGAAACCGCCCGCACCUUACUUAUACAUCAUAAUGUUCCGCUGCGUUUUUGGGGCGAGGCGGUCCUUAUUGCCUACUAUUUGAUCAACCGUAUGCCUUCCUCUGUUUUGCAGCAUCAGAGUCCUCAUUCGAUUCUCUUUCCUAAUCAGACCUCCAACCAGUUGUCACUGCGAGUUUUUGGAUCUAUAUGUUUUGUUCAUGAUCAUACCCCUGGUAAAGACAAACUCCAGCCCAAAUCAGUUAAAUGCGUCUUUCUUGGCUAUUCUCGGCUUCAAAAAGGUUACAAAUGCUAUGAUCCCACUACCAACAGAUAUUUUGUCUCUGCAGAUGUCACCUUUUUUGAAACCUCCCCUUACUUUUCUUCUAGUCCAACGCAUAAAACCUUUGUUCCUAGCGCUUUGCCUGUACCUACACCUCUUAUAUCUCCCACCAUGAUUCUUUUUCAACUGUCCUUUAUGAUAUUCUUCCACUGGUCCUUCCUUCUGAUUCUUGAAUUUUUUUUUUGUAUUACACUCUUAGAGGCCGGGGCUGUGUAGCUAGGUUCCUUAUUCUUGCCACUGUCACUGUUGCCUCUAUCAGUAUGUUUGAGAAGCUGGAAUUCUGGUUGAUUUUAUUAACUCAAUCUGUCUCUUUAAAUAGAGAUUACAUACUAAAGGAAACCAAGUAGAAAUAGAAAGACAAUAAUUAGAAAUCCUAAGGAUUCCUUUAAAACAGUAAAUCAAAUCAAUUAAGAAAACUUAUCAAGGAAAUGCUGCUGAAAUCAUGCUGCAAUAUCAACCAGGAUCAAUCAGAUAUGCUGUAUAGGCUGCUGAAAUUAUGCUUCCAGCCAUGCUAUCAAUUUUUGUCAAUUCCUUGCUUUCCUUGUUGACGUCUGCCAUCUCUGCCUACAAAUGCUUCUGCAACACAAUGUAUUAAUCUUCUAACACUCUUCUUCAGCAAGAGCUUAACAUUCUGCUCAAUAGUAUCUCUGGAGAUUAGUGUUUAUAAAGGCACUCUGAUAUAGCUAGGAGUUGAAGCAACUUGAAAACAAGAAAAAAAAGCUAAAUGAAUUGUAAACAUGAGACUCAAGAUAAUUUACCAGAAACAAGAGGUGCUAUAACUUUGUGCAUUUGCUAUUCUGCCCAAUAGCAUCUCUGGAGAUUAGUAUUUAUAAAAGCACUCUGAUAUAGCUAGGAGGUGAAGAAACUUGAAAACAAGAAAAAAAAAAAGCUAAAUGAAUUAUGAUUUAUGAAGCUGAGACUCAAGAUAAUUUGCCAAAACAAGAGGUGCCAUAACUUUGUGCAUAUGCCAUUCUAUGAACACCAGAAAGGUAUAAAAUAUUUCGUGCUCUUUUCCUGUCAACUUGUUCUAGGCCAGAUGUACAUGUUCCUUUGUUAAGAUUUUUACAGGUCCCUGAGCCUUGCUUAGUUGCUAGUGGUGUAGCUGGAUAUUAUUUGGUUGAAACGUCAACUAGAGAAGGGGUAAAAAUGACAUCAAUGUAUAGCAUGUUAAGGGAUGAUUUUGAAGUCAUUUAGCUGCAUGAUUAGAACUCCCAAAAGCAAGUAUUAGCAUUAAUCCAUUAUGAGGGUUGAUAGAGUGUUCCCAAUGGAUGAGGCUCUUUGCUUUGUGAGGGUUGGGAGAAAAUUGUGCGUGUUGGUUAGUUGCUAAAGGUGUGAUAGUAGAAUUGUAUGUGGUUGAAACUUCAACUAGAGAAGGGGUAAAAUGUGGAGCAUAUUAAGAGAUGAUGUGAAAUCAGUUAGCUGCAGAUUUUUUAGCCAUGAUUAUAACUCCCAAAAGCAAGUUUUAGCAUACAAAUGGAAGCAUUACAAAUGCAGGGACCUAACAAAAAUGUAAAACACUAAUACUCAACUUCAGAAUUCUUUGGUCAUUAAUCCACUAUGAAGGUUGUUGACUCCCACAUCGGUUGUGGAAAGGGGUAAUGUGUCCUUUAUAUGGGCCAUAGACACUCCUCCCCUUGAGCUAGUUUUUGGGGUGAGUUAGGCCUGACCCAAAUUUAACAUGGUAUCAGAGCCUCCCCAUCCGAUGUUGGGCCUCCCAUAAAUAUGUCUCGCACCAGUAAAAUUCUGAGCGUGAGGGGGUUGUGUUGAAUCCCACAUCAGUUGUGGAAAGGGGUAAUGUGCCCCUUAUAUGGGCCAUAGGCACUCCUCCCCUUGAGCUAGCUUUUGGGGUGAGUUAGGCCUGGUCCAAAUUUAACAAAGGUUGAUAGAGUGUUCCCAGUGGAUGAGGCUCUUUGCUUUGCCAAGGUUGGGAGAGAAUUAUCUCUAUUGAAUGCAAACAUCUAUUAGGGUUUUAUCCCUAACAGGAGAUUGCACUCAGUAUAAGAAGAUUAGAGAAGAAAGAGAAGAAUUGAGAGAGAUUAGAGAUAGAAUUUAGGAAGAAGAGAGGAGAAAAUGAGAGAUUUAGGAGAGAGAAAGAGGAGAUAUUAUUUGGAUUCUUGAAUGCCUUUACUAGUGAGUCUCUUUACAAUUUAUAGUAGUACUCAUCUUAUUGUAACAGACUCUAACAACCUUGAGAUCCUUCCCUCCAAAACCAAUUGGCACAACUGAAACUCCCUCCAAAAGUAACUAAUAACGGCUUUAUCUUUAUUGUUAUAUCUCUUCCUAUAAUACGUGACAAUAACCUCUCCAUGGUCACUUUCUUGACCCCAAGAAGGUGCAAAUUUUGGAAAUUUCUUUAGAGAUGUAGGCUAUUGGGUGCAUGGUUUUAUAUCGCGGUCGCGAGUAAUGGAAACAGGUUUGUAACGGCUGAACGUAAUGGUAAUGGCUUGGUGCUAUGCAAAUUUUUCAAAAAAAUUUGUAAAGUUCAUAAAAUGAAAUAAUAUUGAUUAGAUUUAAUUUAGAACAAUGUAUACAAAUGCAUAAUAAAUGUAAAUACAUCAAAUAUAGAUUAUUUAACUAAAGUUAAAGAGCAUUUAGUUUAAAAUAAGAGAAACCAACAUAAUCUUUAUAGAUCGAGUAAACUAAUAGCUUAAAAUACAAUUUAAACUCAAAACUAACACUUUAAUCCACAAAAAAUUUAGGAAAAAAAUAGCUACUGUAUAAAAAAUUUAAUAACUUUUUAGAGGAAAUAAGCUUGGAAAUGCAUUAGUUUAUGAGGAUCAAACUUAUAUGAGAAUAUGUAGUGAAGAUUGAAAUUUGAAAGAGAAAUGGAAGGAAAAACUUAAAAAAAUAUUGCCUUUGAAGCUACUGAAAAGUGUGGAAACUGAUAAAAAUGAGAAUAGGGGUAGAAGAUGAGAGAUAUAAAAGAAUUUCAAUUAUUGGUAACGGCCGUACCAUUACUUUUCGGUGGGUAACGGCCGUUGCCGUUACCAUUACUUCAUGGUCGAUAACGGUCAUUGCCAUUACUAUUACGUAACGACUGUAACGGCCGUUAUGCCGCAGCUCAAGGGGCUGCUGUAUAACAGGGUAAUGGGUAACGACCCUCCCAAAACCCAUACUGUUAUGUAAUGUAAUGACUGUUUUUUAAAACCAUGAUUAGGUGUCCUUUUUGCUGCAGAACUGCCCCUAUUCCCCACCCACUAGCAUCUAUUUCUAUAGUGAAGGGAUGAGCAAAAAAUCUGGCAUGGCUAGGACAGGGUGCUGCCAUUACUCUCUUAGUUCACAGAAUGCCUCUUGAGCCUUGUCAUUCCACAAAAAAAAAAUCUUUCUUAAGCAGAUUAGUUAAAGGAUUGCUAAUAACCCCAUAAUUCCUCACAAAUUUCCUGUAGUAUCCCAUUAGCCCUAGGAAACUCCUUAUUUGCUUCAGAUGCCAAGUCACCAUUGCCUGGCCCUUUUUGGGGUUUGUUGCUCUCCUUUCCCUGAUAUGAGAUGACCCAAAUAUCUCUAGAGGACCUUUCGUUGGCUGCUUCGAGGUUACUUAGCUUAUCCUUAACCUUUGAUGUGUUCCUCUGGAAAUGUUCCCGAAGGAUUCUCACUUGUUCUUCCAUUUUUGCAACCUUCACCUUUUCUGGACUUACAAUCACUGAUCAAUGGAACUCACUAGACUAGUUUGCUUCUUGUUCCCACGCGAAACCUUGCUCUGAUACAAUUGUUAGGGUUUUAUCCCUAAUAGGAGAUUGCACUCUAUAGAAGAAGAUUAGAGAAGAAGAAAGAGAAGAAUUGAUUGAGAUUAGAGAUAGAAUUUAGGAAGAAGAGAGGAGAGAAUGAGAGAUUUAGGAGAGAGAAAGAGGAGAUAUUAUUUGGAUUCUUGAAUGCCUUUACUCGUGAGUCAUCUUAUUGUAACAGACUCUAUCAACCUUGAGAUCCUUCCCUCCAAAACCAGCUGGCAGAACUGAAACUCCCUAUACAACUAACUGAUAACAGCUUUAUCUUUAUUCUUAUAUCUCUUCCUAUAAUAUGUGACACCAUCCCUAUGCUUCUUUGCAGAUCGUCUAUGUCCACUGUUUGGAUCAUGGUUUUUCAGCCACAAUUGAAAAGUAGCAAUCCAACUGUUGUGGUGUUCCCCCAAGGCUUGCCCUCAUUGUGAUAAUUGAUCUGCUGUUAAAAUAAUGAUGAUAUUUCAUUGUUUUUAAUCAUUGAAUCCACAUGACAGUAUUUUUUGGUCUGAAUGAUGGUCUUGUCAUGCAAAAAACAAUUAUUUAUCCUAUUGCAAUAUCAUAUUUGAAAAUCAGCAACCUUUUGAAUGACUAAUCAUGAGCUUUAAUUUGAAGAAACACAUCACUACUUUCUUUUCCUUCUUUGCUGAAAUUAGCAUAUGAUUUAAAUGUGUAAGUUUCACACUUGUAAUCUUGUUUCUGUACAUCUAGAAACAACUGUUGAGGUUCUGCCGAGGCUGUUCAAAAUCAAAUAUGACAGUGGUACUCUGGAAGAGCUUCUUUACGUUGAUAUGCCUCAUGAAUAUCAGAACUCAAAUGGUCAAAUUGUACUUGACUAUGCAAAAGCAAUACAAGAAAGUGUAUUUCAGCAUCUUCGUGUAGUACGUGAUGGUCAUCUUCGUAUUGUUUUCUCCCCAGAUCUGAAGGUUGGAGAAUGAAUAAAUGGUCCUUUUGAGAGAUUUGAACUUCUCAAUAUAUUAUUAUUAUUAUGAUUAUUUUACGCUAUUUUCUGAAUGCAUCCAUCUUUGAUAGAUUUGCUCUUGGGAGUUUUGUGCACGGCACCAUGAGGAGCUUAUUCCACGAAAGCUGAUAAUACCUCAGGUUACUGAUAUAAAUGCUUUUAUUGUGAUAGUAUAUUCAUGCUUUUCUCCUUGUGUUGGGAUUUUACUCCUAUAAUGUAGACUAGUUAAGCUAUCUUAAUUUUACUGAAAUCUCAAGACCUGUGGUUGAAUUAUUCUUUUCUUCUGAUGAAAUUAUGAAUUUUGGAGGUAGCAUGACAUUGGGUCAGAGCUAUCUUCCUUCAGAAAUAGUGGGAAUAUGAACUGGCAUAAGAAACUAGGCUACACAUUUUGUUGCGCUGCUUGUUUACAAAUUGGCAAGUAAUGAAAUAAUUAACCUUUAUAUCUCAAAGGAUGCUUCUGGCAGAAAAACUGAGGAAGGAGAAGGCCCAAGGGAUCAUUGGGAAUGAUUGUCUAAGUAGGCUGUUUAGUAGCUUGUUCAUCUUCCUUAGAGGUUUCACUUUAUCAUAUUAGAUUGAAUAAGAUUUCUUCGCUGAGCAUCUCUAGAAUGUUUACGGUCCCAAGAUUUCUUUGUUGAUCAUCUUUAGAACACUUGCAUAAUAUUUUGUUCAAUUCUCCGAACUAGAAUUAUGUGGAAUUCAAUUGAAUUCUAGAUAGAAUUCAUUUGAAAUGAAUUCUAUUGUUUAGUUUGAUAUAACUUAGAAUGCAAAAUUCAAUUGAAUAUCAUAUAAUUUCUUAUUGGUUUAGUUUUAGAAUUAGAAUUCAUUUGCUUUCAAUUCCUUAAUGUAUAUAUAAUAUAUAUAUAUACAUAUAUAAUCUUUUUCACAAUAAAUUUAUAAUAAUUAAUAAAUAAUAAUAAUUAACAAAAAUGUAAACCCCACUAACAAUUUAUUAAUAAAAUCAAAAUAAAUUAACAUGAGAUUUGAUUCCAUCAUAUAUGUUUUUUUUAAACUCAACAAAAAUUUGAUUUUAGCAUGUCCUCUUAUACAAGAGAGUUUCUAUUCCAUUUAACCAAUCUAAGAGAAUAUAAAAGUUUAAGGUAGGUGGUUGGUUGUUUAGUACCAUCUAUCAACUUUUAUUCAUAUUUAUAAAAUAAUAUAAAAAUAAAAAAACAUAAUUAUUUAUUAAAAUAGUUUUUCAUCGGAAGAAUUUUAGAGAAUUUUAGAAUAUUAUUGUAUUUCACUCUUAAUCUUUACAAGUGAUUUAUAUGAUUAUUUAUACACAAAGAAUUACAACUAAACAGAAAGUAAAUAAUUAAAUAAUUACAGAGAUAGUUAAAGAUCCUAAUCCAUAAUCAAAUUAAAUCAUAAUCACAAGAAAUCAGCAGAUAAGUCAACACUCUCCCUCAAGUGGGUAUAUAGAUGUUGCACAUGCCCAACUUGCAAAUCAGAUUAUGGUAGGUUCUAUUAUUGAGCUCUUCAGUAAACACAUCCGCAAGUUGUCCGCUAGAAGUCACAUGAACUAAGUUCAAGACACUGUCUGUUAAUUUUUCUUUAAUGAAGUGUCGAUCAAUCUCAAUAUGCUUCGUUCGGUCAUGUUGAACUGGAUUUUAUGCUAUACUAAUAGCAGCAAUAACUUCUACAACCAUAAAAAUUCACACACGCCUUGGGCCAUUGCUUUGUAUUUUUCUUCGGCACUUCACUGAGCAACAGCACUUUGUUUUUUGCUCCUUCAUGUGACAAAGUUCCCUCUCACAACUGUGCAGUAGCCAGAUCUUCUGUCAUCAAGAGAUCCUGCCCAAUCUGCAUUUGUAAAAGAUUCAACUCUGAGGUGGCUAUAUUUUGAGUAAAGAAGCCCUUUUCUUGGCGCAGACUUCAGGUAUCUGAAGAUGCGAAAAACAGCCUUCAUAUGAGUCUCGCGAGUAUCAUGCAUAAAUUGGCUGACUAAGCUAACAACAUAGGCUAUAUCCGGUCGAGUGUGUGAGAGAUAAAUCAACCUCCCAAUCAAUCUCUGGUAUUUUCCAAUAUCUACGGACUCACCAGUUUUUGGUUACAUCUUGUGAUUACUUUUAAUGGAAAAUUCUGCUAGUUUACACCCCAACAUACUAGUUUAUUCCCAAAUAUUCAGAAUGUACUUUCUUUGGGAGAUAAAAAUCUCUUUUUCUGAUUUGGCCACCUCAAUACUCAAGAAAAUAUUGAAAAUUUUCUAAUAUUUGAUUUCAAAUUCUCGAGCCAACAACCUCUUUAGUUGAGGCAUUCCUCUUUGUCAUGUCACCACUAUAUCAUCAACAUAUACAAUAAGAUGGGUAAUCUUACUCUUGUGAUAUUUAAUAAACAGAGUGUGAUCAGCAUUACUCUGUUGGUAACCAAAGGACAUCUUGGCUCUGCUAAACCUAUCAAACCAAGCUUUGGGGGAUUAUUUUAGUCCAUGCAAAGCCUUUUUUAAUUUGCACACCUUUCUUUAUGUCUUCUUAUCAGUAAAUCUAGGAGGGAUCUCCAUGAACACCUCUUCCUCUAAAUCUCCAUGGAGGAAUGCAUUCUUUAUAUCAAACUGCUGUAAGUCCCAGUUGAAAUUAGCUGUACAAGAUAACAAGACUUUGAUUGAGCUCAUUUUUGCAACUGAGACAAAUGUCUCUUGAUAAUCCACUCUAUAGGUUUGGGUGAGACUUUUAACAACCAAUCUGGCCUUAAACCGUUCAAUUGUGCCAUCAGUUUUGUGUUUCACUGUGAAUACCAACUUAUAGCUAAUAAGUUUCUUCCUAGAUGGGAGAGAGACAAGCUCUCAUGUCUUAUUUUUUGCCGAUACUUUCAUCUCUUCAAUCAUUGGUCCCUUCCAUUUAAGAUCUGCGAGAGCUUUCUUCCAAUUCUGUGGAAUAGACAUAGAGGAAAUAGACAAGGUAAAGGCUUUAUUGGAAGGAGAGAAGGAUUCAUAAGAAACAAAGCUAAAAAUAGGUUGUUUGGUGCAAGAUUUGACACCUUUUCCUUGUGCAAUAAGUUUAUCUAAAUCAUUGAAACAUUCAAGAGUUGAGGGUAACUCACUAGAAAAAGAUUCUUGACUUUGAGUAGGCUGCAUAAUGCUUCUUCUGCCUUGUCUCUCCUCGAAUACCUCCUUAAAUCUGGCUUGUCCAAACGUUCAAUUCUCUCCCUAAUUAGAUGUCUCCCCCUAUCUACUAGAACUCUCCCUUUAAACCAUAUCAUUCAGAAUCACAGAAUUCGGGAUCAACACUUUUUACUCAUUAUUCUCCUCCUGAAGAGGUGAGUGGGUGGUACUGAAGUAGGGUUCAGUUUCUCUGAAGGUAACAUCCAUAUUGGCAAAAUAUUUUCUAGAUGGAGAGUGAUAACACCCAUAUACUUUUGGUGGAAUAAUGUAUGAAUUCCUUCCUUGUAGAACCUUUAAAGGACUCGUAAAGUUAAGAGCCUUGAGGGGCAUUCGAUUGGUAAGAUAAGCAGGUACAAGGACCGCAUCUCCCCAAUAUGCUUUGGAUAGGUUCUUGGUGAACAUAAGAGAUCGAGCUACUUCCAGUAGAUGUCUGUUUUUCCUUUCAGCAAUGCCAUUUUGCACACUAGUAUAAGGACAACUUGUCUGGUAUACUAGCCCAUUAGACUCCAAACAAGCAGAAAACCUGCUAUCCAUAUAUUUUCUUCCAUUGUUAGUUCUCAAAAUUUUCACCUAAGUAUCAAAUUGAGUUUGAGUACAAAUUAUAUUGUGAAAAGAUUGAAAACUAGAAAAUAUAUCACUUUUAGCUUUAAUCAAAUAUACUCAAGUCAUUAGAAUACAAUAAUCAAUAAAAGUGACAAACAAUUGAUUACCAUAGGGAGACAGUUUGAGUAGGCCCCCAAAUAUUAGAAUGAAUAGUAACCGAAGACUUUUGGAGAAUUUUAGAGUGUUCUUGUAUUUCACUCUUAAUUUUUACAAGUGAUUUACAUAACUAUUUAUACAAAAAACAAUGACAACUAAAUAAGAAGCAAAUAAUCAAAGAAUGAUUAAGAAUCCUGAUUUAUGCCUAGAAUCCAUAAUCAAAUCAACUCAUAUCACUAUAAUCAGCAAAUAAGUCAACACUCCUCUCCAAGUUGGUGUAUAGAUGUUGCACAUACCCAACUUGUAAAUUAGAUUAUGGUAAAUUCUAUUGUUAAGCCCUUUAGUGAACACAUCCACAAGUUGCCUAGUAGAAGUCACAUGAACUAAGCUUAAGACACCGUUUGUUAAUUUUUCUUUAAUGAAGUGCCGAUCAAUCUCUAUGUUCUUCGUUCGGUCAUGUUGAACUGACUAUUGUUUCGAGUAACGAAGCCCUCUCCCUAGCACAGAUUUAAGGUAUCUCAAGAUGCGAAAGAUAACUUGCAUAUGAGUCUUGCAAGGGUCAUGUAUGAAUUGGCUGACUAAGCUAACAAUAUAGGUUAUAUUCGGUCAAGUGUGUGAGAGAUAAAUCAACCUCCCUAUCACUCUCUGGCAUCUUCUAAUAUACACGGUCUCAUCAGUUUCUGCUUGCAUCUUGUGAUUACUUUCAAUGAGAGAUUUUGCUGAUUUACACCACAACAUAUCAGUUUCUUCCAAAAGAUUCAGAAUGUACUUUUUUUGGGAGAUAAAAUUUUCUUUUUUUGAUCUAGCCACCUCAAUACCUUGGAAAUAUUGAAGCUUUUCUAAAUCUUUGAUUUUAAAUUCUUGAGCCAACAACCUUUUUAGUUGAGUCAUUUCUCUUUGUCAUCAUCUGACACCACUAUAGCCUUAACAUAUACAAUAAGAAGGGUGGUCCUCUUCUAGAGAGAGAAAAGGAUUUUUUUUCCCAACACUUGGACCUGAAUUAGAUGUAUUUGUUAUUCAACCCUGCAAGAAAAUCAUAGAACUGUUUCUUUUCAAUCACUUUUUGGAAUUUGACUGCAUUUCUCGUACAAUCUGCUUGGAAGUCCUGAUAGUAAUCAUGCUCCUGCCAUAAGUCACAUAACUGAGAAUAAAAUUGGGAGAUAGUCAUUUCUCCUUGCUUAGUACUAUGGAUCAUAUUCCUAAUAUCAUAAAUUUGGGCAUCAUUCCCAAUCUUGGAAUAAGUUAAGGACAAAGUUUUUCAUAUCUUUGCAGCAGUAUCAAUUAACAAAUAGGACUUAGAGAUAUGAGUGCAUAGAGUUAAGUAACUAUGUCAUAACAACACAAUUAUCUGAGUCCCAUUGAGAAAAAACCAGAUCACUCUCAUCCAGUUGCUUCUUAUUACCAGUGACAUAACUCUGCAGUCCUCUAGCCUUGAUAAACAACAAACAAAAUCUUGACCAAGCAAGAUAAUUGGUUCCAUCAAGUUUUAUGGGACUAAUUUGCAAGGAAGGAUUAUCAGAAUUAAGAAUCGAGACCUUUUUACCUUGUGCCAUGGUAAAAACAAAUAAACCGUAAAAGAAUAGGAGGUACCCAAGGUUGUACAGACAAGAGAGCCCAACCGAAUCAUCAAAAGACUAGGUAGUGGCACGGGAAGGUAGGAAAGAGGGUUGGAAUCAGCGCUGGAGUGAUCGGAGCGGUGAAGCAGCAUCGAACGCUGUCUCACCCGCUGGGAAGGGAGGGCACGUGAGCCUCAUGCGCGUGACUUUCCGGCGUCGGAGCAGGCGGUCUAGCUGGCGAUCCUCCUAUUGCCAGUGAUGAGAGGUGAAAAAGUCUCUAAAUAGCGUAAUACCAAAAAGGUAGAUCUAGGGUUUUGAAACUAUAAAGAGGAAAAAAUUGAAUUUAAAUCUUAAAAUAAGGAAAAGGCUCUGAUAUCAUGAAGAAUUUUAGAGAAUUUUAAAAUAUUUUUAUAUUUUACUCUUGAUCUUUAUAAGUGAUUUACAUUAUUAUUUAUAUACAAAGAAUUACAACUAAACAGGAAGCAAAUAACCAAAGAAUAAUUACAAAGAUAAUUAAGGAUCCUAAUUUAUGUCUAAAAUCCAUAAUCAAGUCAAAUCAUAUCAUUAGAAUCAGCAAAUAAGUCAACCGUCAUAAAAGAAAUUUGAUUUUUAUUAUGACUUAAAGGAUAGGAGGUUUUAGUGUGCUUAGCAUACUCACAAACAUCACAAAAUAAAGAACUAAACUGAGUUCUAGUAAACAACUAGGAUAAAGUUUUUCUGAGACAAAUGGUGAUGGAUGUCCUAACCGCCUAUGCCACUGUAUUAUUUUCUGAUUUACAUUCUUAUUUUCUCUAAAAUAGGCUUGAGAUAUUGAAGAAUCACUUUCUAACAUGUAUAAGCCAUAAUGUAGUCUACCAUUGCCAAUCUUGUUAUUUGUGAGAAGAUACUGAAAAACACAAUGAUUAGAAAAGAAGGAAAGAAUUCAAUUUUACAUUUAAGAGUAUCGGUGAUAGCACUGACAAAUAAAAGGUUGAGAGAAAAAUGGGGAACAUGAAGGACAAAUGAUAAUUUAAUAUUGAGUGUAUAAAUAACAAAACUUGUUCCGGAUAUGAGAGUAAAAAGGUCAUUAGCAAUUUUGACAUCGUCUUUGGUUAGAAAAGGAAAAUAAUUGAAAAAUCCUUUAGAAGAGCUUGUUAUGUGUCUACUUGUACCAGAAUCAAUAAUCCAUAGAAUAGUAUCAAGAGAAGAAGCAUUACCUGACUCCACAAAAUUAAAUGUGGCAUUAGAGGAGGAAGAGGUGUCAAUAUGAGAUAAGAGACGCUUGAGACUCUGAAUUUCAUUAGGGGAAAGGAAUUCAGAAGCUGUUGUCUUUCUUAAAGGGCUCCUCCAUAGUUUCUGAUAAAUUAGCUUGAGCUCUAGAGGUAUCUCGUUUCCCCCAUGGCCUCUAGUGGUGCGACAAUGUAACUUCCAACAAGUCUCUUUGGUAUGUCUCGAUUUUUCACAAUAGUCGCAAUACAGGUGAUCUUUUUCAGAAUUAGGAGGCUGCGGUAUGCUCAAACUAAUAGCUAACCCAGCCUAUUCAACUGGUACAAUAUAGAACAUAGCAUGUCAAGGACUUUUCUCUUGUUGAACAUGGGCAUGGACCUCUUCUAGUGAAGAAAAAAGGGUUUUUUCCUAACACUUGGACUUGAAUUGGAUCAUAUUCAUUAUUCAACUUGCAAGAAAAUCAUAGACCUACUCCUUUUCAAUUAUUUUCCGAAAUUUGGCUGUAUCUCCAGUACAGUAUGUCUGUAAGUGCUGACAGUAAUCAAGCUCCUACCAUAAGCCACAUAGCUCAGAAUAAAAUUGGGAGAUAGUCAUUUAUCUUUGCUUAGUACUAUGAAUUUUAUUUCGAAUAUCAUAAAUUUGGGCAUCAUUCCCAAUCUUGAAAUAAGUCAAGGAGAAAAGUUUCCAUAUUUUUGCAGCAAUAUCAAGUAACAAAUAGGACUUAGAGAUAUGUGAUUGCAUAGAGUUAAGUAACUAUGUCAUAACAAGACAAUUAUCCAAGUCCCACCGAGGAAAAUCUAAAUCACUCUCAUCCGGUUGCUUCUUAUUACCAGUGACAUAGCCCUGUAGUCCUAGUCUUGAUAAACAACAAAUAUGACCUUGACCAAGCAAGAUAAUUGGUUCUAUCAAGUUUUAUGGGACUAAUUUGCAAGGAAGAGUUAUCAGAGUUAGGAACCGAGACAUUUUUACCUUCUGACAUAAUAAAAUCAAAUGAAUCAUGAAAGAAUAGGAGGUACAAAUACACAAGAGAGGCCAACCAAAUCACCAAGUGACCAGGUAGCGGCAUGGGAUGGCCGGAAAGAGGUCGGCGCCAGAGUGGACUGCGCAGCGUAGCAGCGUUGGGCAAAACCUCAUGCGUCCGGAAGGAAAAGUGCGUGAGCCUCACGCGCGUGAAUUUUCAGUGUAGGAGUUAGAUGGCCGGCCGACAAUGGUCCGGCGACCCUACUGGUGGCGACGGUGAGACAAAAAGGCCUCUAGAUAAGGUAGUGCUAAAAAGGUAGAUCUGAGGUUUUAGAAAUCUUAAAGAUGAAAAAUUGAAUUUAAGACCUAAAAUCAGGAAAAAGCUCUGAUACCAUAAAGAAUUUUGGAGAGUUUUAGAGUAUUUUUGUAUUUCACUCUUAAUCUUUACAAGUGAUUUACAUAACUAUUUAUACAUAAGAAAUUAUGACUAAACAGGAAGCAAGUAAUCAAAUAAUUGCAAAGAUAAUUAAAGAUUAUAAUUUAUAUCUAGAAUUUGUAAUCAAAUCAUAUCACUAGAAAUCAGCAAAUAAGUCAACAUAAUUAUUUUUUUAAUCAUUAAUAUUUUUUAAUUAUUUAUUAAUUUUUAGUUAUUUAUUUUAUUAAUUAGUAUAAUAACUGAUAAUUGGGAGAAAAAGUUUUGGCAUGGCAUUUUAGUCCAUAAAAAUUUAUUGUUUAAGUUUUGUGGAAUUCAUUUCAAAUUCCAUUAAAACUUGAUAGAAUUGGUUUUAGUUAUAACCUCAUGGAAUUCAAUUCCUAGAAUUAAAUUCUAGUUUUUAUUCAAAACAAAUACUAACAUGGAAUUCAAUUGUGACAGGUUUGAAAUUUAUGCCAAUUAAGGUGGCAAAACUAUGAUACUAUGAAGAAUUUUUGGGAGGAAUUUUUUAUUCUAUUCCAGUUGAAUUGAUCUUUACAAGGUUUGAGUAUUUAUAUAUAAAAAAAUAACCUAAAUUAGGAAUAUUUACGAUAAAAAUAAAAUCCCUACAAUGAAAUCUUAUAAUCAAGCCUAAUUAGGAUCCCAAAGAUUUGAAUCCUCCUAGUUAGAAACCUUCUAUGAUGGUCAACAAACACAAACAUGGAAUUUAAUUGCAUUCCACAAAAUUUUAAGGAUUAAAAUUGAAUCAAACAUAGUGUUAACAUAUUGUCAUGGUCGAUAUAUCAAAAUACCAUUUGUCUCUUCAAAGAUGUGGAUAAAGUUUCCCUUCAUGAUCAUUAAGAUAAAGAUGCUUCCACACUUUUCUAAUGUUUCCCUUAGCUCAUGCUUUUCCUAUCAUCAAAAAUCAAAACUAUUUUGGUUACAUUUCGUACCUAUUAUAAUCUCUUCUCAAGACUUCUACUUUUCAUAUAUUUUUGUUUAGGAAGAUACAGAUUUGAUUCUUUCUUGCCUACUGGUGUUGCUAAGGUGGUAUUUGAAGGGAUUUUUUUUUAGUUGAAUUCUGGAGACUUAUCAAGUUUAUCCAGGUAAGUCAGCUUGGAGCUGCAGCACAAAAAUACCAGGCUUCUGCUCGAAACUCAUCAUCCAGCUCAUCAAAACGUGAUUUAGAAAGCAACUGUAACUUGUGAGUUCUUAUCCCUUGAAAUUCUCUUGAUGAAUAAUAUAAAUUAACAGUAGUUCUAUUAUUUUCCAUUUUGUUUAUCUGAAUGCUAUAAUUUUUCCUUUGUUUCUGUGCCUUUGGUUAUCUUUCGUAGUGUAAAAUGACACAUUUCAUCCAAUAAAAUAGUUUUGAGUGUUAGACUCUUGCAAUAUCAUUGUAUGUGAGAUCUUUCAAUUGUUAGUAAUUGGGAUUAAAAGUUAAAUGAUGAAUCACGAUACAAUUACUAAGCCUUAUAGCAAAAAGAAUGAAGGAUGUUGUGGUAGUAUAAUUAACAUUUGAAAGUCUUAUUUUGCCCACACUACAUUUGGUUGUACUUUUUUUAUUUAUAGAACUUGUGAUAAAUAUCUAAGCUCUUAUACUUAUUAUAGAAAUAAAUAAUAUCCUUGUGUCCGUCCCAAUAUUUCAUUUGAUUUUACAAUUUAUUAGAUAGGUUCUAUUAUGAUAUGGCUUUGCAUCAUUGGUUUUUUUUUUCUUUUUAAUUAAUGGGGUUCAGGGUGGGGCCAUGGUGGGAGAAUGUUUAACCUGUGUUGCAUGGCUUUUCUCCCUCUACUUACUAAGUAUUUUGACAGGUUUCUUGCAUCUGCUCGUCAAUUAGCUAAAGCUUUGGAGGUACCCUUAGUUAAUGAUUUGGGAUAUUCAAAGAGAUAUGUGCGGUGUCUUCAGGUACUAUCUGCUGCGUCUUUGUAUUUUCCUAUUGUCUAUCCUUAAUUCUUGGACUUGGAUAUGGCUCCUCUACUAGGCAUAAGAUUUCUGUGGUUUGCACUGUAAAAUGUAAAUUGGUUGUUUGUGCACUAUCUAAUAUGUAGUGUGGUAAUAUUCGGAUUAAGUUUCUCCUGGAAUACCAUCUGUUGAUUAAUAUUGAUGUGAAAUUCUGUUUACUAUCUAAAUGUUGUUCCAAUGCAUUUUUUGUUGGAGCUAUAAUGUUGACUAAUGAGGAGACCUUAAAGACAUAAUUGCAAAGAUUAAGGGCUGAUCUCAUGCCAUAUUUUUAGGCUAAAUUAUAGGGCAUAAUUGUAGAGAUUUUAUUUCUUGUAAUUUCCUUAUUAGCUUUGAUUCUUUAUGUAUAAAUUAGAGUGCACAUAGCUUAUAAAGAUAACUUUCUACAGCAAUAGAACUCUCAAAUUUUUCAUGGUAUUAAAGAUUUGCCAAUAUUAUUUGGUAUAAGUAUUCCUGAUAUUGCUCACAAAGUUGGGGUGUUUAUAGGUUAAAUUUCUAGGUGAUACUAGAGAGGGAGUUGACCAACAUCACCCAUACCAUGCAAAGACCCAUUGGUUUACUAGCAUUUCCCAGCUACGCAGCAUUAUUUCGGCCACGCACGUGAGCUCACGUGCCACCACUGGAUUUGGCGUUAUGAGAUUCACCUGCUUCCCAUCCGACAUCGGUGGAUUACGGAAAUUCCGAAUUUUAUAUAAUAGCUAGCACGAAACUACUAAAUAACUUGGGUUAACCAUUUUGAGCCAAGCGGAAAGUAGUCCAAAAGUUAUUUGGGUCAGUUUAGGCCGGACUGUUUCAAUUGGUAUCAGAGCCAUCUUGGGUCAGAAAAAUUGUGCAGAGCUAGUGGAUCUGCGAGGAAAGGGUAGAGGAAAGGGCUACCCAUGUGAGAUGAGGUGGAGUCGCUCGAGGCACUAGCGAACUACAAUACCGACGAGGUGGAGCCGCCCGAGGCACUAGCGAACCGCAAUACUCGAGGGUCCGAUCCUGACUUAGCAAUUGUAUCCGAUUCAGUUACGACAAGAACAUCACAAAUUUGGCAGGGGAGAGUAUGAGAUUCACCUGCCUCUCGUCCCACAUCGGCGGAUUACAGAAAUUCCAUAUUGUAUAUAAUAGCUAGUACGAAACUACUAAAUAAUUUGGGUUAACCAUUUUGGGCCAAGCGGAAAGUGGUCCAAAAGUUAUUUGGGUCAGUUUGGGUAGGCUGUUUCCGGAGCGCUUCUCCACGCGCCGGCACAUGGGUCACUCUCCAACACUCUUUUCCGACAGUGCUCCUUUUCGGCAAUCUCCCCAUUAUGUCACACCUCUGAGCAGCCCAAACCCAUACUUUUUUGCCGGUGAACAUUAGCUUUUACUCCAUGAACAAUAAUUUUUUUUUUUCCCUUUUUUGGACAAAAAAGUGUUUUUUUUUUCUCUUUGAAAUGGAGAAUGUGACUAGUGAGAGUAAUGUAAGGGUAAAGGCUUUUGAUAAUGCUUUUGUUUCGUUUGUUGAUACUACGCUCUCCAGCAACAGUCGGAUUUGCUCCACUUCCACCAACCUAGACUCCUGAUUUACUACUAUGGAUCAAGUCAUCGCGAAAAAUAAAUCGUAUUUCUUGCCGUAACAUAGAUUUGGAGUUGAAACACCAACUUUCAGCCUUGGCAAGUAGGCUUUGAUACCAAAUUGUUAAGAACUAGAAGAGAUUAGAUGAAAAUAGAAAUAGAGAGAAAAGGAAGCAGAAAUAAAGAUGACAAAUUCACUCAAAUUUAUGGAAUGGAUUAUCAGGAGACAUUUGCUCCUGUUGCUAAAAUGAGCUCAAUCAUAGUAUUGUUAUCUUGUGCUACUAAUCUGGAUUGAGACUUACAACCGUUUGAUGUGAUAAAUGCAUUUCUCCACGAAAACUUAAAAGAUGAGGUGUAUAUGUAGAAUCCUUUAGGAUUUGCUAAUUAAAAAAUACAAGAAAAGGCGUGCACACUGAAGAAGGCCUUGUAUGGCCUAAAACAAUCACCUAGAGCAUAGUUUGACAUAUUUAGCAGAGCCAUGAUUUUUUUUUGCUAUCAACAGAGCAAUACUGAUCAUACCAUGUUUAUUAUGAAUGGAUUUUGCAAAGAAUGGAUUCUGCUGCUUUUGGCAAUAAGAUCAAUUGUAUUAUCUGAGUUCAUCUGCUUGAUGUGUUGUUACCAAUUAACAUUCAUUACUAGGAUUCUUGGGAUUAUUCAGUUUUAGUUACCUGUAUGGGUACAUGGUCUUGAAUUGACCUGAAUUGAUGGCUACAAAGCAUGCGUUUGGCAUUAUAAUAUAGGCUACUUUCAUAUUUUUAAAUAUAUGUGAAAUUGCAGUGCCAUAUGAGUGGGGCUGUGCACAGUUCCUUAAGGUCCUGAACCGAAUCGAAGAAACAUACCAAACUAUAUUAGUACUGAAAUUGCAGAAACUGAAUCGUAUUAAAUCAAACUUACUUAACUAUUUGAUUUUGGUUCUUUAUUAAAAACUGUAACCGUACUAAAGAACUAAUUAUAUAUAUAUAUAUAUAUAUAUAUAUAUAUAUGUCUUUGAAUGAUUUAGUUAUAUUAUGGUUCCAAUAUAUAAUUUCAAUAAUAUGUUUUAUAUAUUAUAUAGUUUCAAUAAAAUUUUAUAUAUUUACAUGAAAUAAGAUAUUUGAAAUUAAGAUUAUAUUUUUUUUAUCAAAAUUAUGUGAUUCUAUUUAAAAAAUUCAAAUCCUAAUUUUAUAAAGUGUUAUAUUAAUUAUAGUAGAAAUUUUGAAAUAAGUAGGGGUAUAAACAAGUUAAACUAUUCGAAACUCAACUUUAUAAAAGUUUUGCUCAAUGCGUGUGUAUAUGUAUAUAUAUGUAUAUACUCUCUCUAAUUAUUUAUCUAAUAUUAUCUAUCUAUUUUCAUAAAUUAAAUUAUUCAUAUAAUUUAAAUAUGAAUUCUUUCUCUAUUAACUAUUGAAUAGUUAUUACUAAUGUAAAAUAACCAUAUAUUAUAGUUAUUAAAGAUUGCAAACUAUUAUAUAAUUUAACUAAUUUAAUUAGUUGCUUAAUAAUUCAUUCUAUUUAAAUAGACUUUAUAGAUACUAUCUCUAUUAAUUACUAAUAGAAUAUAAAUUAAUAAAAUCAAUUAUAUAUAUAUACAUACUCAUACAUAUAUAUAUUUGUUAUUUUUUUUCAUAAAUAUAUUAAAUUACUUUAUGGUUUUUUAAUUAUGUGUAAAUCAUAUGUUAGUUAUAUAAUAUACUUUUAGAUAUUAAUUACGCAUGUAUCUUUUAAAUAAAACUUAUAUAAUUAAUAACUGAAACCGAUGAUGAAAAGAAGAAGAUGAAAGCAGAAGCUUUUAGAGAAAAUACUUGAUUAUUCCCCUCAAAACAAUCGGGGUAUAUAUACUACUUACAAGAGUACAUACUAAGUAAGAAAAUAAAUUAACUCUCUAAUUAUAGUCUAAUCAUAUCCCAAUCACAUAAUCAUAUCCCUAAUUAUCACUGCAAAUCUAGGUUAUUUACAGAAAGAAUCUCAACACUCCCUUUCAAGCCGGAGCGUAUGUCAUAUGCUCUAAACUUAUUACAAAUAUACUCGAUUCAUGAACCUCGAAGAGAUUUUGUGAAAACAUUAGCUAGUUGAUCAUUUGAGUUGACAAAGCUAGUAGAAAUGCAUCCCGACUCAAUCUUUUAUUUAAUAAAAUGGCAAUACACCUCUAUAUGUUUCAUCCUCAUGAAAAAUUGGAUUUGAUGCAAUAUGGAGGGCAGCUUGAUUAUCACAUAUCAGUUUCAUUUGGCCAGUAUCACUGUAUUUCAAUUCCUGAAGGAGUUCCUUCAGCCAAAUGAGUUCGCAUGUUGCUAAAGUCAUAGCUCGAUAUUCUGCUUCUGCACUUGAUCUUGCAACCACACCCUGUUUUUUACUUUUCUAGGAUAUAAGAUUCCCUCCAAUCAUAAUACAAUAUCCUGAAGUAGAUCGUCUAUUUGAAGGGGAACCUACCCAAUUUGCAUCAAAAUAGCCAACAAUUUGUGAGUGACCCUUAUCCUCAUAGAGCAGUCCUUGUCCUGAAGCUCCUUUGAUAUAUCUAAGAAAUGACUGCAUUCCAGUGACUACUGUAUAGGGUUUGGAAAAAUUGACUAACCACACUUACAGCAAUGGAAAUAUCUGGUCGAGUGAUAGUGAGAUAAUUGAGCUUGCUAACUAAUCUUAUGUAUCUAGCAGGACCUUUAAGUGGCUCCUCCUAUUCAGGAACCAGUUUGACAUUUGGACCCAUGGGAGUGUCCACAUGUCUACAGUCUAACAUACAUGUUUCUUCCAAUAUGUUCAAAGCAUAUUUUCAUUUGGAAAUUGCAAUACCUGUCUUAGACUGUGCCACUUCAAUCCCCAAGAAGUACUUCAAUUUUCCCAGGUCUUUAGUUUGGAAAUGACUGAACAAAUGUUGCUUAAGCUGAGAAAUUUCAUCAUGAUCAUUUCCUGUAAUAACAAUAUCAUCAAUAUAGACCAAGUAAAUGCAUCUAUUGCCAUUAUGACGGAAAAAUACGGAAUGAUGAGAAUUACUUCGAGACAUUUUUGGAGACUGUUUUAAACCAUACAAGGAGCGUCGAAAAUGACAUACUAAGCCUGACUCUCCCUGAGCAAUAAACCCUGUAGGUUACUCUAUAUAGACUUCUUCGGCGAGCUCACCAGGAAGAAAGGCAUUUUUAAUGUCCAGUUGAUAAAGGGUCCAGUGAUUAAUUGCAACCAAUGAGACAAGGAGGCGAACAGAAGCUAUUUUGGCUACUGAAGAGAAAGUAUCACUGUAAUCAAGCCCAAAAAUCUAUGUAACCUUUAGCUACAAGGUGAGCUUUAAGGCGAUCAAUUUUGCCAUCAGGUCCCACCUUAACUAUGUAAACCCAUCGACAACCAACAGUAGAUUUGCUAGGUGGUAAAGAGACCAGUUUUCAAGUUCCAUUAUUAUGAAGAGCAGUCAUCUUCUCAACCAUUGCAUUACACCAACCAGGAUGAUCCAAUAUUUCUCUAACUGUCUUGGGUAUAGAAACAGCAGAUAUGGUGGAAACAAAAGUAUAAUGGAAGGAGACAAACGAUGGUGACUCACAAAAUUAUAAAUGGGAUGAGAAUUUUGAGAAGAGCGAAUACCUUUUUGGAGAGCAAGAGGAGUAACUGUUGCUACUGGAGGCAUGACCAAAGUAGGUGAUUGAUGGAAUUGGAGGUGAGUCAUUAGAAGUACCUGCAUCAGGGAGAGAAGUAUCGUGGCUAGUAGCAAAUAGGUGAAGUCGACGUGUGUAGACCUGAAGAGGUGGUGUAGGAGUGGGAGGCCAAUGAGACAUAAGAGUUGCAGGUAUAGGCAAAGCUCUAAGAACAAAGGUUUUGUGCGUUGGAGUAGAAGAAAAGUAAGGGGAGGUUUCAAAAAGGGUGACAUCUGCAGAGACGAAAUAUCUGUUAGUAGUGGGAUCAUAGCAUUUGUAACCUUUUUGAAGCGAGAAAGACACAUUUAACUGAUUUGGAUUGGAGUUUGUCUUUAUUAGGAGUAUGAUCAUGAACAAAACAUAUACAUCUAAAAACUCGCAGAGACAACUGAUUGGAGGUCUGGUUAGGAAAGAGAACCGAAUGAGGGCUCUGAUGCUACAAAAUAGAGGAAGGCAUACAGUUGAUUAAGUAGCAGGUAGUAAGGACCACCUCAACGGGUAGUGCAAGGCAAAUGAAGCCUGCGUUCCGACGGGACUGGGACGUUCCCUUUGGCUCAUUGCGCUCGUAGCUCGAGUGGAGGAGCGUCACUUUGGAGAAACAAUGCUGGGAUCAAAGCGCUUAAUUGCAGACAUGCUCGAGGGCGAGCAUGGUUUGAGUGGAGGAGAGUUGCCACGUCCAUAAAUUCUAGGGAUGUACAACACCAUGCUGCGGAAGAUGUUGCUGUGAAGAUUGGGCGGGGAGUUGCUUGGAAGGGCCUUUGUGUGUGGGAUUAUCAUUUCUACAUACAUUGGUCGGGGGCUGGAGCCGCUCUCUUGAUGAGCCUAAGGCAGGGCGAAACCAGUCAGCGUGGCAAGGCUCUUCAAUAGGCUGAACUUAGCAGACGGAUACUCAAUUAUUCCCCUCAAGCCAAUUGGGACUUACAAGAGUACAUACUAGGUAAGAAAAUAAAUUAAUUCCUUAAUUAUAGUCUAAUCAUAUCCCAAUCAUAUCACAUAAUCAUAUUCCUAAUUCUCAAUACAAAUCUAGGCUAUUUAUAAAAAGAAUCUCAACAAUAACUAUAUAUAAAAUCAUAUAACAUUUUUUUUGAGAAUUAUAUAAAAUAUAUUUUUAAUAUUAAUAUUAUUAUUGUUUAAAUGUUAGUAUUAUUAUUUUUGUUAUUGUUUCAAUGUUAAAAUUUUAAAAUUAUUUUCUAUUUUAAAGUUCUAAGUGGAAUAACUAAGAUUUAAGCUAAAAUAUUAAACUAAAAAUAAAGUUAUAAUAGAACUGAAACAAGAACCGGAAUUGAAUUGAAACAUACUGAAAUUGCUUAGAAUUGAACCAAAACUAAAAACUGAAAUUUGGUUCCAAGUUUAAUUUCUAAAAAUCAAAGAAUCUAAAGUUUGGUUUCGGUUCCAGUUCUUAGCUACAAUCGCAACAAACUGGAACUUAAAAUCCUUACAUAUGAGCAUGAUGAUUAGUAAUAAACUUUGUACAUGUAUCAGGUAGGAGAAUUUUGGUGCUAUUUUGUAUUUCAUUUCAUCAAGAAAUACACAGGAGCCAUUUGGUAUCUUGUUGUUUAAUUAUUUGUUACAUAGGAAUUAUAGAAAUAAAGGUAAUAACGAGAAGUGGAGGAAUAGAUAUGGAAGCAAGAAAAGUCAACAAAAGUUAGCUAGCAGUUGGAGAGAAAAUUAGUAGGAGGCAGUUACUAUAUCUCCAGUUUUGAAUUGGCCGUGAUUAGGAUAUAAAAAGAGCUGGAGUAGCUCUGAUUUUGGCAUUCCAGAACUAAUAUCAACAUAGAACAUUUUCUCUCUAUCUUCUACUCUUUCUUUCCUUUCUUUCUCUAUUUUUCCUACACUUCUAUUUUCUGUGAUAGAGAACCUGGUUUCAUGACAUUAUCCCUCUUGUGAGUAUGAUUGCAAAAAUAAUAUAAUUGAUGGCUCACAGUUAAGCUCUCUUUUGAGUGUUGAGCCAAUUGCUGUAUAGUCUCUAACUAUAUUUUUCCUUUUCUUUGUACGAUGUGAAACAAAAUACAGAUAUCAGAGGUGGUAAAUAGUAUGAAAGAUUUGAUUGACUACAGCCAAGAGACUGGAACGGGGCCAGUGGGUAAGAUUUAAUAGAUAUCUUCCUUUCUGGUAGACAUUCUUCUUUCAUUUUCUAAAUUUACUUUGGCAAACAGUGGCUUGAGUUGCAAUAUACAAUUUAUUUUCUUUUAUACCCUUUUCUCUGAAUGCCAGUAAGGGUUCUAUUGGUCCACUUCUAUUUUACAUCUGGUUGACAUUGUAUUAUUAUUGUUAAGUAUUCUUUUUACCCAAUACCUCUUCAACUCUUCUACAGAAAGUUUGGCACAGUUUCCCCGUAGGACUAGGCCAGGGCUACAUUAUUCAGUUCAGCAAUCUCAGGAGCAGCAGCAGCAAUUUAGAGGGCAUGUCUUGAACAAUAAUCAUAAUUCUGUACAGACAAAUGUUGUGCAUCCUUCUACAAGCAGCGGUGUUGCAAGUGCGGACAACUUUUAUGAUAUGUCCUCUAUUAACUCUGUUUCUGGCCUUCUCCGCCAGAAUUCCAUGAACUCAACGAUUGAGAAUCAGAUGAACAAUCCUGGAAGUCCAUAUGCUGGGACUCCUGUUCAGAUCCCAUCUGCGGGCUCUUCAACCACUCUGCCCCAAACUCAACCCAAUCCUCCUUCUCCUUUCUCGUGUCCAACACCUUCUUCAUCUAAUAAUCCUCCCCAGAGUUCUCAUAAUGUGCUAACAGCAUCAAAUUCUGCAAACCAUGUAGUUAUGGCAAAUUCACCAACCCAAAUAUCAGUGGGACAAUCACCACAGUCAAAUGAGGUUGCUCCAAAUGAGCUGCAAAGAUCUGUUGAGAAAAUCAUACAAGAUGUAAUGACUUCUUCCCAAUUUAGUGGGGGAGGUAACACGGCUAGUAUUGAUUCUGAAGAGAAUAAUAUGAAUAACCUUAAUGGGAUUGCAUUGAAAAAUCAAAAUGUCCUCACUAGGGGGAAGUUCCUCCUGGGCAAUGGUACAGUGGACUCCAGCUCAAGUACUAUGGUUGGAGAGUUUAGGAGCUUUGGUCGUGGAAAUGGUCUCUCUGCCACUGCUAGUGGAAUCAAAGCUGCCAUGGCAACCAAGUCUUUGCUUGAAAGGAACCGUUGGCAACAUGAAUUCACUAACCAGUUACAUAAUGGGAUUGGAUCUGUGAAUAGUUUUCUUGAUCACCAAUUUGACUGGAAAUCUGCCUGAAGAAGUGUCUUUGCUGACAUAUUCAUGACAAUUGCCUAUAGCCCUCUGCCUUCUGAUGUGAUAUUUCUGUGGGCAAUAGAAAGGGCAUAUGCUACAUGAUUAAGGAUUAAUUUGCCUCCAUUAAUUUGGAGCUUAUAUAGUUACAGGGAUUUUGUAGAGGGAAGGAAAAUGUAUAGUUUUGUGCUGAGGUGCCCUCUCCCCUCCUUUUCUUCCUCCUCUCCUCUUCUAAUCUUCACUUAAUACUUGGGGUUCUUUCUGCUGGUUUUUGUAUGUAUGGUUUGCACAGCUUUGAAACGAGGAAUCAUGCUUGAGACAUGAUCAUUGUAAUUAUGCAUUCAUCUUUUCCCGUAGUAGGGGAUUGUGGAAAAAUUUUGUAUGCAUCGACUCGAUGAUUCGAAACAGCUCCAUGUGGAACUGAUACAGAUAAUAAUAAUAAUAAUAGUAACAAUAAAAUGGUGCUUCUUUCAUAAUGCAGAGCCAGCAAUGGUAAUCUUUGCCUGCUGGAAGUAGAUUCGGAAAUGACCAAGGAAUUGUUGACUAUUUCAUUUUCACUUGACAAGAAAGCAGACCCACCAUAGAUCUUUGUGCACAAGUCUCAUCUUGAAACAAAGAAUAAUGGUAUCUGGAGCAAUCGAGUGACGAACGAACCCAACAGUUAUAUUUAGGAGCAAAUUAUGAGUUUAAAUUCAAUACAAUUAUAUUAAAUUAAUUAUAAUUCAAUUAGAAUUGAAUUUAAAGGAAAAAUAUAUUAAAAUUUUAUUUGGUUAGACGGAUAAAAAUAACUUUUUUUAAUUUUAAAGAAUGAUGGGUUAAAUAUAAUGAUAUAUUAAAAAUAAAGCUAUUCCUAUUUUAAAAAUUAAAAGCUAACAGUUUUUGUAUGCGCCUUUCCCUUUUCCAUCACUGGGUGUCUUUUCGUUAUAAAACUGGUACUUUGAAGGCUGUAUAGAACUGGGUGUCUUUUCAAUUUAAUUUCUAUUGAAAAUUUUUUAUUCUAUUUUUUUAGAGAAAUAUAAAGUAAUUUUAAUUUUAUAGAAAAUAAUAAUUAAUAUAUAUGUAAUAAAUACAAUUUAUUAUUUUUAUAAUCACUAUUAAUAUAUGAUUUUUUUAAUUUCUUAAUUUUCUCUAAUAUAAUAAAUAUAAUUUAUUAUUAUAUUUAUUGUAAUAAAUAUAAUUUAUUAUUUGUUAAUUACUAUUAAUGUGUAACUUUUUAUUUUCUACUACUUUCUAAUAUAAUAAAUAUAGUUUUUAUUAUAAUUAUAGUGAGUAUUAUUUGACUUUUUGAUGUUCUACUAUAUAUUAUAUUAUUAAUAUUACAAUAAAAAUUUUAUUAUAUUUUUAUUAUUAAAAAAAUUUUAUUAUAAUUUUUUUAAUUUUAAUAAUAAAUAGAAUGUUAAAAAUAUAUUUAUAAAAAUUGAGUAAGCACUCUAUAAAAUGAUUUUUAAACAAUUAAAAAAAUUACUUUUAUUAUAUAGUAAUAAUUCUAUAACAAAAAAAUCAUAUAAAAAGUUUUUAUUAUAUUACAUUAUUGUUAUUUAUUUAUUUAACAUUUUUAUAAGAUUAUAAGUAAUAUAAUUUAAUUAUAAAUACUCUAUAUAAUGUCAAUAAUUAUAUAGAAUAAAUAUAUAUAAUCAAUUAAAAUUAUUAUAAAAAAUAUUAAUUAUGUAAAAAUAUAUAUAAUUAAAGAAUUAAUAGAACUAAUUAUAUAAAAUGUUAUCAAACUAAAAUUUUAUUAAUUUAAAUAACUAUAAAAAGUUAAUAAAGUAAAAUUGUGAUUCUAAUUCUCAAAAUGAAUUGUUAUAAAUAUUAAAUAACUAAAUUAUUAAAUUUAAAUUACUAUAAUUUAUUAUAUUAAUGAUUAAUAAUUUUUAAAAAAUAUAACCUUCAUUAUUUAUUUUAUAUAAAAUUCAUUUGCAUAAUUUCUUUUACAUAUAUUUCUUCACAUAUCUCUCCAUUUUCACAUGACUCAUGUUUUGAAAUUUUUAUUUAUUUUUAUUUUUAUUUUAGCAUUUAAUAUAAGAUGUAUGGUUAUACAACCUUGUUGAUUAUAUUGAAAUUAGACGAUAAAUUAUCUAAAUAUUUUGAAGAGAUCAUUCUAUUUUUUUUUAAUAAUAAAAUAUAUUUAUAUUAUAGUUUUAUAAAGCCAUUUAUACUAUUAUAAAAUAGUGUUCGCCUAAUAUAAUUAAUAUACUAAAUUUUACCAUUUAAAAAAUUAACAUAUUUAAGAUAUUAUGGUAAAACACAUGAUUCUAACAUAUUUAAAAUAUUAUGGUAAAACACAUUAUUCUCUCCUUCCAUCACUAUAGCUACCAUCACUGCCAUUUACUACACUUGGAGUUUAAUAAACUUUAAUUUUUUUAAAGAAUAUAGUUUUUUGAAUAAAAUUUAUUAUUAUAUAUUAAUAAUAUAUAAUAAUAAAUACUAAAAUCCUUAAACUUUUUUUGUUGCCAUUGAGUUUGAUAAUACAUGAAUUUGUAUUUGAUUAUUAUUUUGAAUUUAAAAUUUUUAAGGAAAUGUUUUGCUUUUCUUAGUAAACAGACUGAAUUUAUAAAAAAAUGUUACUUCAUAAAAUAAUAUCAUAUAAUAAUAAUAUAAAAAAUUUUAAUAUAAUUUUAAAAUUAAAUUUAAUUGAUUUGGACAAACUAAAGAGAUACAACAGUAGUUAUCUUCUUUUUUUUUUUUUUCUCAUUUCCUAGUAAAUUUGAAACCCUUCCCUUGGAAAAGCCCUCACCUGCAGAAGUUCUCGAGACCCCAUAAUGUUUUUCCUUCAUUAUCUUUGCUUUUGCUUUAUGUCUUAGUUUCUUUUGUCAUCUUGUACUUUCUUGAUUGGUUUUGUUGUCCACUUCGACAUUUGGGAUCUAUUUAUGAUGGCUGCUUGAGCUUUCUACCCUUAAUUAUUUCAUGUCAUUCUAACGGCAACGAUCCAAUAAAUCCUUCUUUGGAGCUCCAGUGAGAUUUACUAGUAAACCAGAGAAAAUUGGGAAGAAAUUCAGAGAGAGAGAGAAAUAGAGGGAUGAAUUCUUGGCAUUUUUCUCCCUACUGAAUUAAUGAAUUACAAUCGAGCUAAAUGGAGUGGCUUACAAAGUGGAGAAAUUUGCAAAUUUCUUGACAUAAUUUGCACUAGCUGGUUCUUAACCAACUUUCUCCACAUUUGAAUUUCAGCUUAAGCAUCCUUUCCUUCACAAAUUCUCUCCAUGUCAUUCUCCGUAGUAUUAGUCUUGUGCAACCAGUGCUCUUGAAGUUGGACAUGUACAUGAGCCAUCAAGAACAUAGAGCCAGGCACAAGAAAAUAAGAAAAAAUAGUCAUCAUCUGACAGCUUAGGCAGCAUGUACAUCGAUUAUUAGCUUCUUCAUCCAAGCAUUCACCUUUUAACUCAUAAGCUCAUAAGCAGAUGGCACAUCAUGCAAUGGGUGACCUUUUCUGUUUCUCUCGAUUAUCCUCUGUGCAAGCGAAACUUGCUUCCCAACCACAAAGAUAAAUGCCUUGCCCCUUCCUGUUGCACCUCUAGCAGUUCUUCCAACACGACGAACAUAUUCACUUGGAUCACGUGGAAAAUCAAACAGUAUAACAUGGUCCACUCCAGUAAAAUCAAUUCCACGGGAUGCUCUGUCAUGAAUUGAAGAAAUACCAGAUUACUAUGUUAUGUUAUGCUUAUAGAUGCGAGGAUGAGUGCUUCAAUAAUGUCAGAAGAGAAAAUAACCUAGUGUAAAGACGAUACCUAUCAGUGCAAACCAAAAAUAGAGAGUUUUCUCCUGGAAAAGAAUUCAUGAACUCCUUCAUGUUUUCAAGCCUUGAUUCUUUUGCCAGAGCAGCAUGGAAUGGUAGAACUCGAAUAUUGGUUCCUUUUCUGUCAAAGCGUUUUAAUACAUUCUCUACUUUUCUGCAUGUCUCGAUCUGUAGAUUUAGGAGGCAAAAUAUAAAGUGAAAUGAUUUCAAUAAAUAAUAUAUGAAAAGGUUAAGUUCCACAGUUUGGAGCUCAACCUACCUUAUUACAAAAAACAAUUGUCUUAGAAACAGGACUUUGCUCCAUAAUCUGCAAAAGAGCUGAUUUUUUAUUGAGAAAUGCUGUUUCUGGUGUCCUAUCUGUCCCAACUUCUCCACUGCAAUCUACAAGAACCUGCAAUAUAAAACCGGUAAUUAAUUUUCAUUACAUUAAAAAUUCCUUCAUAUUAUAAACUUUUAAUAUUUGUGAAACAGAUAACACAUCAAGUUAAAAAAUUGUUUUUGUCUUUAUUUCCCCUUUCUUUCUUGUGAAAACUUUCAGUACCGUGAAAAUGAUUGAGAAAUUGAAAACCUACCUCUUCAAGCCUGAUACUUGUGCGAUGCAUACCAGGGCCCAUGACUACUUCACAAUCAGGAAAGACCUCAAUAAGCUUGUUAUACACAUCUACUGGUAAAGUUGCAGUAACAAACAGAUAUUGUGUGGCAACUGGUGAAGAAUUCAUCAAGCUAUUUAAUGCAACCUCAAAGUCCUCAUCAUUAAACAGUAUAUCUACCUCAUCCAACACAACACUGCAACAUAAGAUUCAUGUCAAAUGCUUAGGGUUGGCAGAUUGUAUGAUAAAAGUCUAGUUGGUCAAAAGUCAAUAAAUCAGCAAGACCAGAAAUCAGAAUGUAACUUACCAAUGAUAGCAUAGCUGUACACAAAGACAAGGCACAACAUAGAUUAUAUAUAAUAAGGAAAUCACUUCAAUUGAUUGCUUGCAAAGGUGUUCUAAAAAGUAUACUUUAUUAUAUCUGAUUAGAUAUAUGAAUGAAUGUUCAAUUCACAAAAGCAGAUGUUUACUUAUUUGAGGUGGAUUUGAAAUCUAUAAGCAUUUCAAAUCCAUACACAUUUAUGCAUGUAAUCAAUCAUUGAGGAUAUGAUUACGGUGAUAUCUAUUAGAAUCUGAGUUCUUUUGCCACAAGAUGAUUAUUGAGAAUAAAUAUGGCAUUAAUGGGCCGGGUAUCAAACUCAUAUCCAAUACCAAUUAUGCAGGCCCUCAAAAGUCCACAAAACAAAGUGGAUAUGUGGGCGGGAUGCCCUAUUGACUCCUCGUCUCUCUCACCUAUCCACUCUUCAAAUGAAACCAUUCUACUUUCCUUUUUCUAUGGGAAUUCAACAGCUUGCAAUUCCAUUUACUCUAUUCUUAGUGAUGGGGAGACAAAAAAAAAACUUGCUUUUUUACUCAAUAACUUAUUUAGUUUCAGCAUUCAUCAAGAUCCAAGAAGUUGCCUUUGCAGCUGGACUUCGUCCUAGAAAUCCUCAUAAAAUUAUUUAUUUCAGUUUCUCAUUACAGUUUCAUUGGCUAAUCUUGUGUGGAAAACGGCCAUCCCACAUUCCCCAGGACCAGUACUCAAUAAUUUACUGCUGGUACAUAAGGAACUACCUCUAAAUGUUUUCUGGUUUUAUUUGUCAGUCUUGUUCUAACCUUACAUCCUUCUGUUUCCUGGUCAAUUUAGACCUGAACAGUUUUUACAAUUUGGGUCUCCAAAAGACAGAAAAUAUGAAUAUAUUGAAAUUAAGGAAUAAUAUAGAUGACACAGAAAGGCUAUCAUGUGCAAUGUUUGCUGUACCAGUUAAAAUAUUUGAGCAGUCCUAUAACACUUCAAAUAUUAAGUUUUGUGGGUAAAUUACACAUACAGUAUCUUAACUUUGGGGCAUGUAACAAGGUACUUAAACUUCAAUUUAUAAUAACAUAACCCCCCUCCCCUCUCCAAAAUCUUUUAAGUAACAUAAAACCCCCUAUCAUCUUCAAUAGCAAGUUGCUAAGGUAAUUGCAGUAAUGUGGCACUUAUUAAAUUUAAGGUAAUGUACUUUUUAUCAGAAAUUAAUAUUUGUUGAAAAUUUUUAAUUAAUUAAAAUUAGUAUUUUAUGACUUAGAUCUCUCUCUCUCUUCCCUUUUUCCCCUUUCUCUUUCCACUGCUUCUUCCAAUCCUUCCCCCUAUUUUCAAUUCAUCUCCAUUCCAAAUUGAACAAAAACUACAGAAGAACACAACAAAUCAACACAGAAAUUCAAUACAAGUAUAGAAAAUCUCAGCAAUGCGAAUUCAAGACAAACCUUCGCAAAAUUGGUAAGAAGGGAUCCUGAGCUUUUUCUCUCAGCGCCAGUGGUAUCCUACGCCGAUUCCUUAUGAUGAGGAAAAAGCAAAGGGUUCCUACCAAUGCUCUAUGACAAAUUGAAAGGGAGAGGGCUAUGAUGCUGCCUAUUUGUGUUGAAUCAAGCAACGAUGAGGAGAUUGCAGGUGCUGGAGGGGAAGAUGGGGCUUGUGAUAAAGGAAAGGAGGUGAUGGAAGAGAGUGGGGGUAGUUCGAGUGGGGAGGAACGCAAGAGAAAACGAACCCAAGAGAAAGGGGCCUGUGAAAGGAACAGGAGAGAAUAAAUCUGUAUAGAGAAAAGGAGAUGAUGGUGAACACUGAGAAGUGGGUUUGACGCGAGUUGUUGGCAGGUCUAAGUCUGAGUUUAGGUUCUGUUCGAAGAAAGGAUCUGAGAGUUUAGGUUCUGUUCGAAGAAAGGAUCUGAGAGAGAGGUGGGGGAUUGGUGAAUGGUGGUGGUUAGAAGAAGAAGUGCAAAUGAACCAAGUUAUUAAUGAGCUAUUCGAGAUUUAGUUCGAUAAAAGUUCGAUCGGAUUCAAACUUAGUUUUUAGAUUCGUUUAAUAAAUGAGCCGAGUUUGAACUCCAUAUUAUUCGGCUCACUAAGGCUCGUGAACUCAGCUCGUUUCCAAGUUUAUGAGCAGACUCAUGAAUUAGCUCGUGAACACGGUUGUAAAGCGAGCUCCAUGUCAUAAAAGAGCUAAACUAAAAGUGUGCAUAAAUUUUUGUGAGCCAUAUAUGAGUUUUCUAAAGUUUAUCUUUGCAGUCUACACAGUUUGAUUACAUUCUUAGAGGUUGCAAAUAUUUAAGAGCUCAUUUUUUAUAGGUUCACGAGCUAAUUGGUAUACAUACUCAUUUAAGUAAAAUUAUUUAAUUUUAAGCUUAUUAAUUUUAAACUAAAACUUAUUAUAAUUGUAAAUAAAUUGAACUGUUUGUGAACUAUUCAAAAUCAAGCCCGAUAAAAAGCUCAGUUCAUCUUAGCUCGUUCGCUAAACGAGCCAAAUUUGAACUUAUUAAUACUCGACUCGAAUUCGAAAUGAAUAAAACUUAAAUUCGAAAAAAAUUUUAAACCAACUAAACUUGAGCUCUUCAAAGCUCAACUCGGCUAGGUUUAUUUAUACCCCUAAUUAGAAGGUUUUGAAGAUGCUUGGUGUCUAGGAUUUAGCUUCGACAAGGAGAUGCUAGUGAAGAGGAUUUUGGUUAGAGAGCUUCUAACCUUUGGUUAUGUGAUUACAAGAAUGAGAUGGGGACUAAUGAUGGAGGUGGUGUGAAGCAGAGGAUCGUCAAAGUGUGGAUAGCGAAAGAAUAAUGGAAUAGAAAGUGUAGAGAGAGAAAAGGGAAGGGGGAGAGAAAUUUAUCAAAUAAUAUAUUAUUUUAAUUAAUCUGAAUUUUUUUUUUACAAAUAUUAAAUUAUGAGAGAGAAAACACGUUACUUUAAAUUUAAUAAAUGCUACCUCAGUGAAAUUAACUUAGAAACCAAAUUUAGAAGUUUUUAGGGUGUUUUAUGUUACUUAAGUUCAAGAUUAAAGCGUUUCUAUUACAAAUUGAAGUUUAGAUACCUUAUUGUUACACACCCCAAAGUUGAAGUACCAUUUGUGUAAUUUGCCCCAAGUUUUGUUCACACAAAGUUGCUCCUCAAGAGAGUUUGAAACAUUCAUUUUAGGAUUCUACAUUUUAGAUAUCCAGUCAAAAUUAGUUGACAUCUAACAAAAGAUUUAAGGCUUUGCAAUUUUAAUACUUUCUCAUAUUUUAUCUUCUAGAAGAGGAAUCUAAUGCUCCUAUAUAUGAUAAUUUUUAUCAACAAUUCUUCUUAUCAAUAUGCAAUCAAGCUUGAACAUUCCAAAAUAAUAAACAGAUUAUAGUUAUUCAGUGAGAGAGAGAGAGACAAAAGCCAAUCAGGCCUAGCCUAGUUGGUCUACUCGCACACUUUAAAAGAGUUUGGAGAGUGGGGAGUCUUGGGUUCAAGUUCAAUUCCUCCCAUCCACCAAUAUAGUUGGAGUUUCCAAAGGGUUAUGAGAGAGAAAACACGUUACUUUACAUUUAAUAAAUGCUACCUCAGUGAAAUUAACUUAGAAACCAAAUUUAGAAGUUUUUAGGGUGUUUUGUGUUAUUUAAGUUCAAGAUUAAAGCGUUUCUGUUACAAAUUGAAGUUUAGAUACCUUAUUGUUACACACCCCAAAGCUGAAGUACCAUUUGUGUAAUUUGCCCCAAGUUUUGUUCACACAAAGUUGCUCCUCAAGAGAGUUUGAAACAUUCAUUUUAGGAUUCUACAUUUUAGAUAUCCAGAGUCAAACUUAGUUGACAUCUAACAAAAGAUUUAAGGCUUUGCAAUUUUAAUGCUUUCUCAUAUUUUAUCUUCUAGAAGAGGAAUCUAAUGCUCCUAUAUAUGAUCAUUUUUAUCAACAAUUCUUCUUAUCAAUACGCAAUCAAGCUUGAACAUUCAAAAUAAUAAACAGAUUAUAGUUAUUCAGUGAGAGAGAGAGAGACAAAAGCCAAUCAGGCCUAGCCUAGUUGGUCUACACGCACACUUUAAAAGAGUUUGGAGAGUGGGGAGUCUUGGGUUCAAGUUCAAUUCCUCCCAUCCACCAAUAUAGUUGGAGUUUCCAAAGGGUUAUGAAGGGAACAGACAAAUCCCGUUGUAUAGCUCAUACUGUGCUAUGACCAAUUUGGCCUCCUCCUUCCCAUCCCCUUCCCUCCCCACCAAAAAAAAAUAUUAUAAUGCAUGAUGCAAUGCCCCAAACCUACUCUCAUUAAUUAUUUAUUGAAAUGAGAAAUUUGCCAACACUAAUUGAAAAAUACAAAACGAAAAUUGUGCUAAAAUCGCUUUUAGGUUCACUUUUGCAAGAUCUCAUGCUUUGCUUUACAAACAAGGUUCGAGAACCUCAAAAUGAAACAGAGAGCCACACAGCCUUAAUUAUAAUAUCCAUAUCUUGUUCGAUUAGUGAUUAGUUGAUAAUGAGACCACUGAAAGUGAUGAUAAUGAUACUAUGCAUUUUGAAAGGAGGAAAAACACUAGAAAAAUUAUGGAGGGUGUAAAAACACUUUAAUGGGCAACUACACCAACCUAAUUUCCAUUUAAAAUAAAUAUAAUAUGGAAGGAGGCAAUAUUGAAAGAAGCUUACCAUUUAAGACUUGUUAACUGUAAGAAUCCUUCUUUAACUAAGAACAUGAAACGUCCAGGCGUCACUAUUAAAACGUCAACACCUUGUUCUAAAUUUUCCAGUUGAGUUCUCUGAGAAAAUCCACCUGUUGCAGUCAUAGAUCGAAAUGGAACCCCAAAUUUUGAUAUUGAUCGGCAAUUAUUCAAAACCUGUACAAAUUUCAGAAAAAAUAGCUAUAGUGCAUAAAAAGGACUUGAAUGACACAAUUUUCUAAAUUCCUUGGACAAUAUAUGAAAACUUGUGCCCCCGCAUAGAGACAUACACAAAUUUUUCUCUUCUUUUAUUUUUCUUGAAAGGAAAAAGAGGCAACCUGUUGUAGAUGCAUUCGUAGGAAAAAAACAUACCAAGUAUAGGAAAGCUAGCUGAAGUCCAUCUGCAGCUAUAAUCCGGAUGAGGGUGAUCCAAAUUUUUCUCAAUGGAACUUAGAUAAUUGUCUUGUUAUGAUAUGGUUACUUAACUCUAUGCAACCUCAUAUCUCUAAGUCCUAUUUGUUACUUGAUACUGCUGCAAAGAUAUGAAAGGCUUUAUCCUUGACUUAUUCCAAGAUUGAAAAUAAUGCCCAAAUUUAUGAUAUUCGAAAUAAAAUCCAUCGUACUAAGCAAGGAGAAAUGACUAUCUCCAAAUUUUAUUCGAAGCCAUGUGGCUUAUUCAAAAUAAAAUUCAUCGUACUAAGCAAGGAGAAAUGAUUAUCUCUAAAUUUUAUUCUGAGCCAUGUGGCUUAUGGCAGGAGCUUGAUUACUAUCAGCACUGUCAAGUAGCUAAUACUGAAGAUGCAGUCAAAUUUCGGAAAAUAAUUGAAAAGGAGCGGAUCUAUAAUUUUCUUGUAGGGUUGAAUAAUGAAAAUGAUCCAAUUCGGAUCCAAGUGUUAGAAAAAAACCUUUUUCCUUCGCUAGAAGAGGCCCAUGCCCAUGUUCAACAAAGGGAAAAUCGCCGACAUGCUAUGCUCUAUACUGCAACAGUUGAAAAGGCUAGGUUGGCUACUGGUUUGAGCACACCACAGCCUCCUAAUUCUGAGAAAGAUCACUUGCAUCAUGACUAUUGUGAGAAACCGAGGCAUACCAAAGAAACUUGCAAGAAGUUAUAUGGUCGUCCCGCUGGAGACCGUGGGGGAAAGAGAUACCUCUAGAGCUCAAGCUAAUUUAUCAAAAACUAUGGAGCCCUUUAAGAAAACAACAACUGCUGAGUUCCUUUUUCCUAAUGAAAUUCAGAGUCUCAAGCGCCUUCUGUCUCAUAUUGACACCUCUUUCUCCUCUAGUGCCACAUCUAACUUUGUGAAGUCAGGUAAUACUUUCUCUCUUUAUACUGUUCCAGGGAUUAUUGAUUCUAAUGUGAAUAGACACAUGACAGCUCUUUUAAAGGCUUUUCAAUUAUUUUCCUUCUCUAACCAAAGAGAGUAUCAGAAUUGAUAAUGGCUCUUUUACUCCCAUAUCGAAACAGGUUCUGUUAUUUGUGCAUUCAAUAUUAAAUUAUCAUCUCUCCUUCAUAUUCCUUGCUUUCCUAUCAACUUUUUAUCUAUCAGUGUUAUUACUAAUACUCUUAACUGUAAAAUUAAAUUCUUUCAUGAUUAUUGUGUUAUUCAGAAUCUUCUCACAGGAAAGAGGAUUGACAAUGGUAGACUGCAUGAUAGCUUAUACAUGUUAGAAGGUAAUUCAGGUUCUCCGAUAUCUCACGCUUGUUUUGGAGAAAAUAAAGACAUCAAUCAAGAAAUAAUACAAUGGCACAGGCGGCUAGGGCAUCCAUCAUUUUUUGUCUUAGAAAAAUUUUAUCCCAAUUUAUUUGUUAGAACUCAGUUUGGUUCUUUAUUUUAUGAUGCUUGUGAGUAUGCUAAGCACACUAGAACCUCCUAUCCUUUGAGUCAUAAUAAAAACCAAAUUCCUCUUGUGACUAUUCAUUUUAAUGUUUGGGGGCCUACACAAAUUGUCUCUUUAUCUGGUAAUCAAUAGUUUGUUACUUUUAUGAUUGUUGCACUCGAAUGACUUAGGUAUAUUUGAUUAAAGCUAAAAGUGAUGUCUUUUUUUUUUGUUCUCGAUCCUUUCACAAAAUGAUUUGCAGUCAAUUUAAUACUAAGGUGAAAAUUUUAAGAGCUGACAAUGGAAGAGAAUAUAUGGAUAGUAGGUUUUCUACUUAAUUGGAGUCCAAUGGGAUAGUACACUAGACAAGUUGUCCUUAUAUUAGUGCACAAAAUGGCGUUGCUAAAAGAAAAAAUAGACAUCUAUUGGAGGUAGCUCGAUCUCUUAUAUUCACCAUGAACCUACCUAAAGCAUAUUGGGGAGAUGCAGUCUUUGUAUCUGCUUAUCUUAUCAAUCCAAUGUUCCUCAAUGUCCUUGACUUCAUGAGUCCUUUAGAGGUUCUACAAAGAAGGGAUUUAUACAUUGUUCCACCAAAAAUAUUUGGGUGUGUUUGCUUUGUCCAAACUAGAAUGGCGAGAACGUUGGACCCCAAGACUCUUAAACGUGUGUUUUUUGGGUAUUCUCUGACACAAAAGGGAUACAGAUGUUAUCAUCUUCCAUCUAGAAAAUACUUUUUCAGUAUGGAUGUUACCUUUAGAGAAACUCAACUCUACUUCAGUACCACCCACUCACCUCUUCAAGGAGAGAAUAAUGAGCAAGAAGCGGUGAUCCUAAAUUCUGUGAUUCUGAAUAAUAUGGUUCAGAGGGAGAGUUCUAGUAGAUACGGGAAGACGUCUAAUCACAGGGAGAGAAUUGGACGUUUGGACAAGCCAAAUUUGAGGAGAUAUUCCAGGAAAAACAAGGCAGAAGAAGCCAUUAUGUAGCUUAUUCAGAAUCAAGAAUCAAGAAUCUUCCAUUAGUGAGUUACCCUCAACUCCUAAAUGCUCCAAUGAUUUAGAUAAACCAAUUUCACAAAGAAAAUGUAUCAAAUAUUGUACCAAACACCCUAUUUCUAACUUUGUUUCUUAUGAAUCUUUGUCUCCCUUCUAUAGAGCCUUUGCCUUGUCUAUUUCCUCUGUAUCUGUUAUAGAUUAUAGGAAGUAAAUAUAUUAAUAUAGAAAGUAAAUAUUGAUAGAUGGGUUAGUUGCUUAAUCUUAGAGAUUGUAUAAUCAUAGACUUGAUUUUCCUUCCCGUUUAGAUACCGUCUUUUAUAUAUAAAUAGGUUGUAAUCUUUAUUAUGAAAUACAACAACAAAUAUUAUCUUUCUACAUGGUAUCAGAGCCAGGUUCGUAGAGAUUUAUUUUUUCUCUCUCUCGUCAAGUCUUAAAUUUUUGGAGACUGAGGACUCCUGUUUCUUGCAGCUCCCUUGUCAAAUUUGCGGUUCAUUUGGGUGUUGGGUGGAGGCUUUUUUUUUAUAAUGUUCAUUUGGGUUACCCAUAAAAGAGUAACAUUUGGAGACUUAGGGCUCUGUUUAUUUGGGUUACUCAUAAAGAGUAAUAUUUAGAGACUUAGGGCUCUGUUCAUUUGGGUUACCUAUAAAAAGGAUAACAUUUGGAGACCUAGGGCUCUGUUCAUUUGGGUUACUCAUAAAGGGUAACAUUUGAAGAUUUAGGGCUCUGUUCAUUUGGGUUACUCAUAAAGGGUAACAUUUGGAGACUUAGGGCUCUGUUCAUUUGGGUUACUCAUAAAGGGUAAUAUUUGGAGACUUAGAGCUUUGUUUAUUUGGGUUACCCAUAAAAGGUAACAUUUGGAGACUUAGGGCUCUGUUCAUUUGGGUUAUCCAUAAAGGGUAACAUUUGGAGACUGAGGGCUCAUCGGGUACUGUUUACGACUACUAUUCAUCGGGUACUGUUCAUCGGGUACUGUUCAUUGAGUACUGUUCAUCGAGUACUGUUCACGGGUUCGAAAUUUUAUUCACAGGAAGGUGAUUAGUCUUAUUAAUCAUUCUGAAUUUGUUAAAAAAAUUAAUGGAGUAUUUGGAUUUCUAUAUUUUAGCAAAGGGAAUAUUUUUCGUAUUUAUGAUGUAAGGCGUUUUACCAAGCUGAGAAAAUGUGGUUUCCCGUUCUAGUGCUGAACCUGAAUGUCGAGUCAUGGCAAAAACCGUUUGUGAAGUUUUGUGGGUACGUCAAUUAUUGGAAGAAUUUGGGUUCACAAAUUCGGUGUAUGCUAAGUUGUAUAGGACGAGUUGAUUAUAUAUCUAACAAGUUGGGCAUGAUUAACAUUUAUGCUCCAACUUGAGGGGGAGUUAUAGAUUAUAGGAAGUAAAUAUAUUAAUAUAGAAAGUAAAUAUUGAUAGAUGGGUUAGUUGCUUAAUCUUAGAGAUUGUAUAAUCAUAGACUUAUUUUCCUUCCCGUUUAGAUACCGUCUUUUAUAUAUAAAUAGGUUGUAAUCUUUAUUAUGAAAUAUAACAACAAAUAUUAUCUUUCUACAGUAUCUAUUCCACAAGAUUAGAAGAAAGUUCUUGCAUAUCUUAAAUGGAAAAGAGCAAUGAUUGAAAAGAUGAAAGGCCUGCAAAAAAUGAGACAUAGUGAAACACAAAAUUGAUGGCACAAUUGAACGGUUUAAGGUCAGAUUGGUUGCUAAAGGUUUUACCCAAACCUAUGGAGUAAAUUAUCAAGAGACAUUUACCCCAGUUGCAAAAAUGAAUUCAAUCAGGAUCCUAUUAUGUUGUGCAGCCAACUUGGACUGGACUUUAAAGCAGUUUGAUGUGAAGAAUGCAUUCAUUCAUGGAGAUUUAGAGAAAGAGGUGUUCAUGGAUAUCCCUGCUAAGUUUGUUUGAUGAGAAGACACAAAGAAAGGUGUGCAAAUUAAAAAAGGUUUUAUAUGGGCUAAAAUAGUCUCCUAGAGCUUGGUUUGACAGGUAUAGUAGAGCCAUGAUAUCCUUUGCUUACCAACAGAGCAAUGCUAAUCACACUCUGUUUAUUAAACAUCACAAGAGCAAGAUCACCCUUCUUACUGUGUAUGUUGAUAAUAUAGUGGUAACAGGUGAUGAUAAAUAGAAAAUGGCUCAACUAAAAAAGUUGUUGGCCGAAGAAUUUGAAAUCAAAUAUUUAGAAAAACUUCAAUAUUUCCUAGAUAUUGAGGUGACCAAAUCAGAAAAAUGAAUCUUUAUCUCCUAAAGAAAGUACAUUCUGGAUUCUUUUAGAAGAAAUCAAUAUGUUGGAGGUGUAAACCCGCAGCAUCUCCCAUUAAAAGUAAUCACGAGAUGCAAGCAGGAACUAGUGAGUCCGUGGAUAUUGGUGGAUAUUGAAAGAUACCAGAGAUUGGUAGAAAAGUUUAUUAAUCUCUCACACACUCGACCGGAUAUAGCCUAUAUUGUUAGCUUAGUCAGCCAAUUCAUGCAUGACCCUCACGAGAUUCAUAUGCAGGUUGUCCUUCGCAUCUUGAGAUACUUAAAGUCUGUGCCAGGGAAAGAUCUUAUUUACUCCAAACAUGGUCACUUCCGAGUUGAAACUUUUAUAGAUACAGAUUGGGCAGGAUCUCUCGAUGACAAGAGAUCCACCUCUGGCUACUAUAUAGUUGUGGGAGGGAACCUUGUCACCUGGAGGAGCAAAAAACAAAGUGUUUUUUCUCAGUCAAGUGCUGAAGUAGAAUAUAGAGCAAUGGCCCAAGGUGUGUGUGCACUUUUAUGGUUGCAGAAGUUACUGGAGGAGCUGAGCUUGCUCUAGAGAAACAAGAUAACUUUGUAUUGUGACAACAAAUUAACAGUCCGUCUUGAGUUUAGUUCAUGUGACUUCUACCGGGCCUCUUGCGGAUGUGUUUACUAAAGGCUAAACAAUAGAACCUACCAUAAUCUGAUUUAUAAGUUGGGCAUGUGCUAUAUCUAUGCACCAACUAGAGAGGGAGUAUUGACUUAUUUGAUAAUUUCUAGUAAAAUAAUUUGAUUUGAUAACAGAUUCUAGGCAUAAAUUAGGAUCCUUAAUUAUCUCUGUAAUUAUUUGCUUCCUAUUUAGUCGUAAUUCUUUGUAUAUAAAUAGUCAUGUAAAUUACUUGUAAAAAUUAAGAGUAAAAUACAAGAAUACUCUAAAAUUCUCCAAAAUUCUUCAGUUAUCAAGUAGGAUUUAUUUUUAUUAGAAUAAUUAUUCCAUUAGGUCUCUUGUCAAGUAGGAUUCAUUAUUAAUAGUUGUCCCACUAGGACUCUUAAAGCUACCAUGUAAUCUGCUUUAUAAAUAUAGAGUCGAGAUACAUCAACAAAAAUCAAGCAACUAUUACUUUUUUCAAAUAGAGAUUUAAGAUUCUCUCUUCAAUGAAUCUAAGAUGCUAAGAGCUUCGUCCAACGAGCUUCCAAAAUUCUGUCAACAUAGGGUCUUCAAGAAGAAGUAAGAAUCAAAACAAGGGGAAGGGUACUGUUGAGUUGGAGGAUUUUUCUACCCACCGACCCGUGACGCAAUCCUUAGCCCAGGAACUUGACAAAUUGGUAUCAGCAGCAAACGUCAUAGGACAUUCCAACAACCCACGAGAUGAGCUGAGAUCCCUAUUUCAGGAAGCACAAGCAUUAACAGAGGCAAUAGUAGCGCAAGUGGAAGCUAGAGUAACCAAAACUGAGUCCCACCUAGAGCUGCUGCUACAAACCUUAUCCAUGCAAUUGCAAGAAAUACUCAUAGGAACAAAUAAGAAUCUAGGAAAAGAAGUAGGAGGAACUUUCGAAUGCAGCAGCAACCAAUUAAAUGAAAACAGAGCAGAAGAAGUCGAGAAUACUUGACCUAGAGCAAGGACAAGUCCUCCGUGCUAGAGUGAACCGUGGCAAUUGGGGUCUUUUAGUUACUUGGCAGAGCUGUCACGACUUUGAAGCAACUUGGGAAUCAAUCAACCAAUUCAAAGAUGCUUAUCCAACAUUCAAGCCCGAGGAUAAGCUUUUUCUCCAAAAGGAGAGUGAUGUUGUGAAGUUGAUGCGUGCAUAAGGGGGGCAAUGCCUUUCAACAACUUAGAAUGUUGUGAUGUUCUUCUGAGUAUUCAAUUAGGAAGGCAAGAAAUCAUCAGGACUCGGGGAGAAUUCGAAUUACUCAUGUUGAAUACCACAUUUAGAAGAUAAGAGAAAGAAAUGGGCUUAUUUCUUAAAAUUCGUAGAUCCAAUUUCAACCAUAAUUAAUUCAAUUUUAAAAGCUCAUACAUGAGAUAUUUUAAUGUGUUUUGGUGUCUUUUCUAAUCCUAUAUAAAUUAGGAAUCAAAUUAAUAAGAUUAGAUAUAGUUUUCAUUGUUCAAAUAGGAUUAUCUUAUAUUUUCCUAUUUCAACUAGGACUUGCUUUAUUUUCCUAUUUCAAUUAGAAUUUAUUUUAUUUUCCUAUUUCAACUAGGAUUAGGAGAGAUUUGGCUAUAAAUAGCCUUUAUUUUGUAUGCAGGAGAAAGAACAAGUUACUAAGUAAAGAUUUCAUAUUUUUCUCCAUGAUGAGAAUUUAUUCUUGGAACUUUGGUUCUUCUCCAUGUUUAGCAACCUAUCAAAGGCAUUUUAAUAUGGAUUUCCUCACUCCAUGUUUAGUUAACUUAUCAAGAAUUUCUUGUGACGUUCUCUAACUGGAAUCGCUGGAUUAUCUUCGUUUCUAAUUAUAUUGAUUGAUUAGGGGUGUGGUAGAGCAACCUUAUGGAAUAUAUCUUUGCCUCGUCCUUUGUUAAAUUGUGUGACGGAGUUUUUGAUCACAAGUUGAUUCUGGAUUCCACAUCAGGAUGCAUGCAUUCAUAGGAAAGAAGUAUUCCUAGCAUAGGACUGCUAGUUGAAGUCCAUCUGCAGCCUUAAUCCAAUAAGCAAUAGGAGUCAUUAAAUUGUUAUUUGUUAUCUCCCAUUAUUUUAUUAGUAGGAUUAUCGUUAUCAAGUAGGACUUAUUUUUAUUACAAUAAUUGUUCCAUUAGGACUCCUAAGUCAAGUAGGAUUUAUUAUUAGUAGUUGUCCCACUAGGAGUCUUAAGGCUACCAUGUAAUCUACCCUAUAAAUAUAGAGCUGAGGUGUUACAAGCUCCCUCCAAUGAGCUGCCAAAGUUCUGUCAACAUAGGGUCUUCAAGAAGAAGUAAGAAUCGAAACAAGGGAAAGGGUCCUGUUGAGUUGAAGGAUUUUUCCAUCCACCGAUCCAUGACGUUACCUUAGCCUGGGAACUUCACACAACUCUAUACGGUGAACAACUUGUUAUUCUAACAAAACAGCGCUCUUGUUAGUAUUUCAUGAGUUCAUGGUGUCAAAUUAGCAACUCUGCUGAGUAAUUCCGUUUGCUAACUAAUUACUCUUCUUUGUCUCAUAACUACAUGGAAAUUUAAGCCAUUUUUUGAAGUCCCCACCUUGAAGCUUCCUUGGCCUUGAUUAUGUUUCUUCUUCUCACUACAUUGAUUCAAGUUAUGCAUAUUAUUAUUUAAGAAUUUAGAAUUUACUGUGAACCUCAUGAAAAUCAUAGAUCCAUAAAAUAGUGGAAGAAUAUUCAAAGCACAAUUUAUUAACUCACAUCUAAAUGCUAGCACCAAAGAGUUUUAUAUUCCAUGCAGAGAUAAUAUUGAAAAGAUCAUGCAAGUUGUAUUUUAGAGAUUAAAAAAAGUGUAAUUCAUGAGUGAGAGAGAGAAUAGAUGGAUUUGAGUUAGCUUAAGCACAAAAGCAGCUACCUGAGAAGCCAGCUCAGCAGUUGGCACCAUGAUAAGGACUUGAGGACUUUUUGACAAUGGUUUACCAAGUCCUUCGAGUUCUUCUAGCCUGAGACGUUGAAUUAUAGGUAUAAGAUAUGCCAAUGUCUUUCCUGAUCCACUUUGAUCUGCUAUCACACAGCUCUUCCCUUCAAUUACAGGUGUAAAUGCCAUGGCCUGCCAUUAUCCAAAUGCAGAAAAUAGAGAAGUCAUACCUGAUAAUAUGAUAACUUCUCUAAGGUGUGAUGUGAGAUCUCUAGCAUUAAUAAUUGAAUCCACUAUAAACAAAUAGAAACUGAAAGUAGCACUCUAACUGUCACUCAACUAAAUAGAAAAUACGGCCACAUGGCUUUGUAAUAUGCAAUCUCUCUUCUAUAAAAUCAAAGGUGAUUUCUUUCUUCUAAAUUGAAACAAAACCUCCUUUAGUUUCUCUCUUUAAUCUCUCCAAUAACAACUACUUUUAUUAAGUAGCUCAUCUAAAAGUAAUUCAUCACUAUAUUUUUCUCAUUUUAAUGUAAUUCAACAAAAUCAAAACUGAACCAUUUUAGCCAAAACUUUUACAUCAUCUUUGCAUCUUGCCAAAAAAAAUAAUAAUAAAUAAAUAAUAAGAUUAUCAACAAAUAUUUUUCUCCAUUGUACCCAUUUCCUUCUCUGUUUGUCCCUUUUUUAUUGUUUAAUAUUUCAUUCUUUUAAUUUAGGAGAGAGAAGAGGGGCUGCUUACAUAAUAUCAGAACAGAAUCUAAGGAUGGAUAACUUAUAAUAAUCAUUUAUUAUAAACUAGUUAGAAUUAGAGGUAGACUUUGGACCAAAAAAGAUCUGUUUUACAGAUGGAAUGCAAAUCAGUUCUUUGUCAACAAAACAGGUUAUUGAUAUACCUGAAUAUGUGAAGGGCGUAGGAAAAGCUGCCCCUUCAAAGAUUCAACCAUAAAGUCACCGCAUCCCAAAUCUUUAAAUGAUUCCCUACUAAAGAAGUCAUUGUCAGCAGAAGAUUUUUUCUGCAUUUGCAGAGGAGUUGUUGAUUUGGAUUUGAGGCUGUGAACGUGGCCUACAUUGCCCCAUCCUCUUGAGUCAGAAGAACCAGCAGGUGCUGAAUGUUUUGGUCCCGCUCUUUUCCGAAAAGAUAUUUGAGAUUCAUCUUGUAUAAUUUCAUUAUCCAAGAUCUGAAGUUCACCAUGUUUGGCAUAGGCAUCAGAACUUUUCAUGUCCUCCCUCAUCCCAGUUGCCAUUGUUUCUCUAAAGUUCUGCAGCAAUGAAACUUCUGACAUCAUUUUAUCAGUUGUAAGUGUAGGCAGAUUCGGAUUUAGUAUAUGAGCCAUAGGUUCUUAAAAUGUAGACGUGCAUGUUUAGUUUACCUUGUCCUUCACCUGUGAAGUCUUUUUCAUUAGAAGUUUUAACUUGUGUGCUUUCAGUUUUCUAAAAGUAGAUGGUGUUGGAGAAGCAAUGUUUUCCGUACUUGCAAUGCCUGUGAGCCACAAAAUAAAAUUAAAAUCCAAGGGAUAGUGGGAAAGUAAAUGAACAAAUUUAGUAAGACAUGUCUUUAAGUUUUUGGGUUUUAGAUAAGAUGAUGGUGUAAAUUGUCAGCGAUUGUAGUUCAAUUGGGAAAGAUAGGUAGUUAAAUCAAUUUGCUAGUUUAACAUCACUACUCCCAAAUUCAAACAAAAAUCACAGCAAGGAACUUAUGGAUUUGAACCAAAACAAGGGAUGAUACACCUAAAUUCUCAAACUUUUUUAUUCAACAAACUUACAAAAGGAAAUAAAAUAAGUAAAAUUUAAACUGAAAAUUGAGAAAAGAAAAGAAAAGGGUACCUGGCGAAGCAUCUUCACUAUUCUUGUUCGGAAGAUGGGAGCAAGCGCUAUCGUCAUCGUCGCCAUCAAGCUCUGGAACAGCUUGAAAGGGAGUGUUCAAAGCCAAAACCCUUUUACUGCUCUUCAAAUCAAAACUGAAGAAUAAGCACCUGUGGUUGUGGGAGCCAGUGAUUUGAGGCCUCAGGUUUGUCAGAGGAUGAGGAAAAGGAAUAGCACCCAUUGCCAGCAUCUCUUCCCACACUUUUCCUUCGUUUUCCCUCGCGUCUUCUCCGCUCGCUAUAUAGAAAGAAAGUUUUCCUUCAAGCCGCUAGCAAGAAUAUCUCCUGCAUGCUCCUAUCAACAAGGUAAGCCUAUUUUCUUUUUCAUCAAUUUCAAAUUAUAGAUUAUUUUUGAAAAAUAAUAAAUUAUUUUAUUGACUUUCUAAUAUAUUCCUAUUGAGUAUUGCAUUAAAAAAUAAAAUAUAUUAAUUUUAAAACUAAUUUAAUAAUCUAUCUAUAAAUCUAUUUAUUUAAUUUCCAUAUCUAUUAUUUAUUUUUUAUGUAUUUCAAUCAAUUAAAAUUAUUCAUAUAUAAACAUAUAAGAUUAAUUUUAGUAAAAAACUGACUUCGAAAUUUUAUUAAAAUUCCUAUUUUUUAUUAGAAUUUUAUUAGCUAAAAUUUAGUCUAUAUAUUAAUUUAUUUUAUUUUAUUUACCAUUUAAAAAGUAAAACUAAUUCUUUAUUAUCAUAUUAUUAAUUUAUUACAAAUACUUUUAAAAAUCACAUUAUUUAUUGAUCAUCUGAGAUCCAGAAAAUAGGGUUUUACAAGUAUUCUGUAAAACUGGAAAAAGCUUAGACCUAGAGGAGAAUAUUUCUCCUUUUAUAUAUUUUCUUUUGUCCGCUAAUGACGUGCAACAGAACGUAUGUCAUUGGACUACCCAUCCCUGUCACGUUGAUAUGGACGUACGAGAAAAUCAGAUUGCUGCCCCAUGCGUAACGGCCCCUGAUUCUCCCGGACGCGCGUAUGGGUGGUCUCUCGUAAAAGAGGAGUAGGUCUCCUUCCUGAUUCCGGGCUGGGCCGGAAGAUAUGAUAUGGGUUGAACCCAGAGAGGAUUUGUUCAUCGGGCCCAAAGAGCUUGGCCGGCCUGAUUGAGGAAAUUGGUGGGAGUCCGGCCUCCAGACUGAGUGGACCGGACAUGAUGCAUAUACGAAGCUUGAGGGCCUCCAGAUAAUGGGCUGGUAUCGUGGGCCUGGCCCCAGACUGGGGUGAAGAGAUCCAGUGGUCAUCAAUUGCCCCUUUACCUUCUCGUCAGUUACUGCCCGACUGAUGAGGGGGUAAAUAUCGAGAGUAAUAAUGACCGCGCUGUCUCAAGACAAAACUGUGCAGAGCAACUUUUCGUCUCAUUAUUGUAUCACAUUUUGAAUUCCUUCUGUCCCUUCGAAAUGCUUGCUCUCUCCUGCUCUCUGUCCUUCUACGCUCUCUUCUGUUCAUCUACUAUACCGCUCUUCAGGUACGCCUCUUCUACUACCAUGGAAAUCUCUAAGCUUCCCGAAGUUUUUAAUCUUGAGUCAUGUAUCACUCCCUCUACCAUAACUAAGCUCAUUUCCCAGAGGUAUUUUGAUACUCCUCUUUACCUUAUCCGAGCUCCUCACCGAAAUGAAAGGAUUGUUCUUCCGGACCCCCCUCCUCCUGGUCUGAUAGAUCCUCAGAAGGAUCGUAGCAUAGUCUUUUUUGUUAAACAACGGGACUUCGAUCUGACUUUUCCGUUCACUCCUUUUUUCAUCGAGGUUUUUCAGUAUUUUGGGAUAACCCCCCGGAUGCUGUCCCCAAAUUCUAUUUUGUUUAUGUGUUCCUUCGAAUCCAUCUGCCUAAGCUGGGGCUUUACGCCCACGGCGCGUCUGUUUGUGACCUUUUUUCGUCUCAUCAGGGCAAGUAACUGUUUUUAUUAUUUUGCCCCCCGUGGGGGGUUGUCCAUCCUCACGGGCUACAAGGAUUCCAUAAAGGGCUGGGUAGAGGGUUUUGUAGUUGCGGAGCUGAAGAAAGAAUCUGGCCGGUCGUGGGGGGUAGAGCUCGACUGGGAGGAUGUCUCUCUGGGUUAUAAUGACCUGCCCCAGCUGAGCCUCACCCGACAGGUCGUGUACCUUCGGUUGACUUCUGUCGACAAGAAGUAUGAUGUAGAGAAGUGUAUGUUCGCCUGUAAUCUUAGGGAUAUCCAAGAUGCGGGUAUUGUGCCUUGUCCAGCAGUUUUGCCUGUUCUUUGUGAUUUCUUCUGGAGAUUAUGCUAACCUGUUCUGAUUUUGUAUUUCUUGCAGCUUCUGACGUCAAAAUAGACCAAAUUAAGCCCCCGAAGAACUUAAUUCUUUCUCGGGAAAGCAUGAACGCGGCGCUGGAUGCCCUCCAAGCAGGGCGACGUGUGUCAGAGGCUACUGAGGAGGUGGCCCAGGUUAUUUCUUCUAGGACAGUUAGCCGACCACCUGCUCCGACUUCUUCACGAGCUCCUAAAUCGAGCUCCCGAGGAGCCAGGUCUUCUAGGCCGACCAGCCGCAGCAGAUCAAGCUCGGCCGUUCCAUCCUCCCAGGCUCCAGCAUCUAGAUGAGUUUCAGUUUCAAGGGCGGAGGAGACUCCCCAGGUCGCCGCCGAGUCAGUUGAGGACAUCAAACUGGCGAAGAAAGAUUUGGCUGUGCCUUCCGGGGGUAUUUCUGAAGAGGUGCCUAGGACACGCCUUGCCGACGUCAGCAGCCCUAGGGGCGAGAAAGAGACCAGCCCAGCAAAGGGAGAUAUUCAGGGGGACGUUACUGAAGUUGCCCCUGUGAUUGAGGAAGGGGGUCCGGUCCGGCUAAUGAUGGGGUCGUAGUGGAGGAGGUAGGAAGUAAGCGUCCUCCUCCUUCGAAAGAGCCUGCCCCGGCUCCUAAGAGAUCUCGGGCCUCCGGGAGGCCUGCUCUAGCCCUGCCUGCUAUUGGAAAGGAGAAGGCUUUUGUGGUGCCUCUGUUGUCUGCCCCAAACAAUGACAUACUGAACGCAGAGGACAUCACUCAUCAGUCCCCGACCAAUGUGGUGGCUAAGUUAAUCAAGGAGCGGAUGUUCGGUGGGCUCACGGAGGCUUCGGACCCUCGUCUGCUUGCCCUGAUUGGCCAUUUAGCUACUUCUACCAGAGAGCAGGUAGCGUUCCAGUCCCGACCUCGAGGGGAGCUUGGAGACUGCAUCAGGGAGAUGCUUCUGAUGGUAAGUUGUUUCUUUUGCUUUUGCCUUUAGCUCUCUUUCUUCUUUAUCUUUAUCUUGACGGUCGUUUCUUUGUAUUAGGUGAUGGGCCUCUUCAUGGAGAUGGACGCUCGUGACCAUUCUCUGCGGGAGUCUGUGGAUCGCCGGGUUGAGGAGGCACGUUUGGAGGAAAAUCUGUCUGCCACCAGUGAUGCCCGGAGCAAUCUGGCCGCGGCCCAUGAGCAUGCCAAGUCCCUAGAGGCGGAAUUGUCUCACGCCCGGAGGGUUCUUAAGGAAUCUGAUGAGAGGGCAGCUGCUGCUGAGGCCCGCUGUGGAGAAGUCUUGAAGCAGUUGUCCUCCACGGUGGAUGCCCUUCGUGAAAGGGACGAGGCUAUGAACCAGAGGGAUGAGGCUCAGCGUCAGUACGAGGCCUUGAAGGCUGAUCUCGAAGGAGCUCAAGCUCGUUUUGACAAUAUGAAGGCUCAGAAGGAGGGAGCACUAGCUCGUGUAGAAGUUCUCGAGCAGGAGCUGAGUAAGAGCUCCGACCGUAUCAGAGAUUUGGCCUCAUCGGCAGAGGAAUCUAAACUUCGCAAUCAAGAGCUCAGCCAUGAGGUCAAGGCUUUGGAACAUAAAUGUUCAGCCCUACUCGAGGACGCCAGACUCGUUGAAGAUAGGAUUCAGCUGGAGUGUGAGAGGCGUCUGAGGGAGUAUAGGGAGUCCCCCGAGCUGAAGAAGGAGAUUGAGUAGGCCUGUGAAGCUCGUCUUUAAGCUUAUAAGGACUCUCCUGAGUUGAAGGCAAAGAUAGCUGAGGCUAGCCAGGCACAACUUGCGGAGUACAAAGCCUCUGAUGAGAUGAAGACGGCUGUUUGGCGAAAGGGCUUCCGUAUGUUCGUGUCUGGCUUCAAUCGAGGUUUAAGAGAGGCCAGACAGGCUCCUUCCAUUCCGCUAGCGAAGCUCUGAGCUACUGAGGUGGACUCUGAUGGCGAGGACGUUCUCUACGGAGAGGAUGACCUGCCCUUGCCUAAGGGAACUUCUCAUGCUUUAGCUGCAUCCUCUGAUAAGGACACUAAGCUAGGAGAAGAGGAUAAAAGGGUAGCAGAAGAUAUCGGGCCUCCCGGGCUGGAGGUUGUACUUUAUGUGGGUGAUGGGGGAUCUGAGCAAGAGGGCGCUAGACCUCCCACAAGCGGUAAUGCAGAUGCUAGUAUAGAGAAUAGCAAUGUAGAUAGUGAAACGCCUAGAAAUGUAAGUCCUUUGAGGACAAUCUUUCCUCCCAUAAUCUUAGAUGAUUAGAUUGUAAAUUUCCCUUCACCUUUAAUGAAAUUUUAUUUUUAUUUAUCAUUUAUACUUGAGUUGUUCUUACCUCUACUUGUCAAAAAUGAAACACUUGAGCGAUGUGCUUCGCAAUUUUUCUAAGGAAUCCACUGUACUGUUUUUCCUUUUUGCCUUUAAGCCCAUCAGAACUGAAAUUCUAUUAAUUGACUGAACUUUUGACUUAUAAAUUUAUCUAUUUCACUGAGGCAUUCUUAUCUGUAAGCUCUUUCCGAGCUGGACUAGCCGUACCCGUGAGCUCUGUUUUUAAUAGUAGGCUGAACUCUCGACAUACGAGUUUUUAUGAUUCUUGUAAAGACAUCCUCAUUUUUCUCUUAUUACUUCGUUACUAUGAGUUCGGGCACAUAGCCUUUGCUUAAUAAUAAUAAGUCAGAUCAUGUACCUUUAAAGGUGAUGAGCAGGGCUGGUCUUUUUGCUUUUAGUUUUGAUUUGACAGGAACUGAAGCCGAGGUCUCAUCUGCUCACGCCUUUGGAUUUCUCUUCGGGUUGCCCCUUUAUCUCCUCAGCAUUUAUUACAUGAGUGGUGAGGGGAUAAAUCUCUAGACUUUAUUUGUAACUGCGCGGCUUUAGUUUAGACGAUUUUACCUCUCCUUUUGGUUAUGAGUUCGGAUAUCUGGCUGUGUGCUCCACUGGUAUGGGGAGUUCAGCUUUUUUGUCGUUUUCCUCUCCCAGGGUCAUUUUUGCUAGGUGUUUGUUUACUGUGAGUUAAUCUGAGCUGUGGGCAGGGUCUCUUGCUUUUGUCGUGAGUUCGUCCAUUCAAUGGAUUAAGGAGCUCGGAUUUUUGCUCUGUGCUUAGGCUUUUGCGCUAUAGCUUUUGUGCUAUCUGUGUGACGGGCUCAGGAGUUCGGAAUUUCGUUUUCCUCACUGUGAAGUCAAUACUUAAUUUCUUAUUUUCUUGACGAGCCUUCUUCAGGCUGUGUUUCUGGGAUCCUAGCCGUUUUUGCUCCGGGGAGAUCUUAAAGAUCCCGCCGGCCGUUUUUGCUCCAGGAGAUCUGACGGGAUCCUGACCGUUUUUUGCUCUAGGAGAUCUGACGGGAUCCUGGCCGUUUUUGCUCCAGGAGAUCUGACGGAAUCCUGGCCGUUUUUGCUCCAGGAGAUCUUACGGGAUCCUGGCCGUUUUUGCUCCAGGAGAUUUUACGAGAUCCUGGCCGUUUUUGCUCCGAGAGAUCUUUGAGAUCCGCCGGCCUUGUACCUCCUUGAGGUUUUGCGUAAGAUUCGGGCUCAUUGGCCUUACUGUCGCUUCGUCACCUUAGCCGGUUUUGUGGUGCCGGGGGCCUUUUGGGAGCUCGGCCACCUACCUAUCUGAGGUCUUGGGCAUUUUUGCCUGUUUCAUUUUUCUUUUUUGUUUCUUUCAUGAAAACAAUGUGAGUAGAGACAAAUAAUGAAUAGGGACGAUAAUCAACUUCUAUUUUAUUAUCAUGCUUUAAGAUACAAUAGGUCUUUUACAUUUGACGAUACCUCAGAGGAAGUACCUUUUCAAGUGCUGAAUAUUCCAGGCAUAGGGCUCAGGGUUUCCCUUCAUAUCUUUAAUUCGGUAUGCUCCUGGCUUGACCACUUUUGCUAUUCUAAAGGGGCCCUCCCAGGUCGGUGCCAACUUGGUACGCUAAACUUGCAGAUGAUGUUCCCCCAACAAUCAUGUUGAUGGUUCCACUGGACCCAUCAUUCACUGGUCCAGCUCCCGCUCUCCUUGGUACUUGGGCUGCCGGAUUGGGCUGAGACCUUUGUCCCUCUGGUUUCUUCACGAAGUUCUUGAGGUGCCCCCUUUUUAUCAGCCUCUCGAUCUCUGUGAUUAACUGGAAGCAAUUAUUGGUGUCGUGGCCGUGCGUACGAUGGUACUGACAAUAUUUGUCAGGAUCUUGCUGGUUUGCUUCCGUUUUCAUAGGCCUAGGCCAUUGGAGGAACUCCUUGUCCUGGACGGCCAUGAGCACUUCGGCUCUAAAGGCGUUGAGUGGGGUCGGCGUCUCUGGAACCCACGGAGGGAGUGGCCUCUGUUCUGAGACCCGAGGAGGGAGAGGUCUUUGGUCCCUUCGCUCCCAGGGUUGUCUGUAAGGCUCAGGCCUCUUGCCAUGCUUUUUCUCGUGCCUCUCCGGCCUCCCUUCCUCCGGUGUUUUCCCCUUAUCUGUCGCUCCCUUGGCGAACCUGCUUGUCACCAAGGCGUCAUCCUGCCUUAUGUAUUUUUCAGCCCGCUUCAUCAGCUAGGCCAGUGAGGUCGGAGGUUUCCUGCUCAAUGAGCCAAAGAACUCGGCAGAGGUCAUCCCCUUCUGCAUGGCUUCCACCUCCCUUCCCUCAUCGAGCUCAGGAAUCUGUAGGGCCUCCGUAUUGAAACGGGCGACGUACUCCCUGAGCGAUUCGUCUCUCUUCUGCCUGAUCGUCUCCAGGUAGCUCGUCCUUCUAUCUGCGGGUACCCCGGCGAUAAACCGGCUGAUGAAACGAGUGGCCAGAUCUCCAAAACUGCUGAUACUUCCGGCUUCAAGGCUGUUGAACCACUCCCGUGCUGGCCUUGAGAGCGUCGUAGGGAAUACCUUGCACAUCAAGGCAUCUGACAAAGUCUGCAACUCCAUGAAGGUCUUGUAGUUCAAGACGUGCUCCCAGGGGUUCCCAGCUCCAUCGUACGCGGCCAUAGGCGGCAUCAUAAACUUCUUGGGAAUAGUUUCCUGCUGCACCCACUUCGAGAAGGGUGAAGAGGUGGGCAGGAGAGUCUGGUUCUGAUCCUUCGUUCCCAACUCAGCCAAGAGCUGCUCUCUCAUUUUUUGCAGCUUUUGGUCUAUACUUUCCUCCUCCUGCCUGGGUGUCUUCUCCAGGUGGUACUCCUCCUCUUCCAUUUCACUUCUCGUCCACCUGGUUGCUCCGGCAGAAUAACUGUCGGCCCCAUCGUUCUCAAUCAUCUCUCUCACCCUCCUUCCAUGAAUCCUGGCCUCCGGUUCUUCCUCUUCCCCGGCUCUUCUCCCCCUUUCUCCGGUUUCGCGGCUAACUGUUUGGGGAUGGUUGAGAGUAGUUUGAGGUUCAUUGGUCUGGGGCUCUUCUACCAUUGGUAAUACGUUUGCUGGGGUGCUAAGGCCCCGUUGCUGCAUUAUCUGCCCCAGCCAGUGGGCGGUGUUUUGUAGUUGGUGGGCGAUGCUUUGGAGGUCCUGAUUGGACAAGGUAGCGGCGGAAGCAUUCCCUGCCAGGCUUGGCGAGGGGUUGAAAGGGAUUGGUGUUUGGUUGUUUGGUGUUGUGGGGUUGAAAAAGGAGAACUGCUGCCCCUCUUGGGCAGAGCUCAGGUCAUUUGGAAUGACGUUGUUUUCGUUAUGGUUAGCCAUUGUGGAUCUCAGUGGGUAUUGUAAGAGUGGAACUCCGGUGAUGAAAAGAUCUCCUUCGGUCCCUACAGACGGCGCCAAUUGAUGAUCUGAGAUCCAGAAAAUAGGGUUUUACAAGGGUUCUGUAAAACUGGAAAAAGCUUAGACCUAGAGGAGAAUAUUUCUCCUUUUAUAUGUUUUCUUUUAUCCGCUAGUGACGUGUAACAGAACGUAUGUCAUUGGACCACCCGUCCCUGUCACGUUGAUAUGGACGUACGAGGAAAUCAGAUUGCUGCCCCAUGCGUAACGGCCCCUGAUUCUCCCGGACGCGCGUGUGGGUGGUCUCUUGUAAAAGGGGAGUAGGUCUCCUUCCUGAUUCCGGGCUAGGCCGGAAGAUAUGAUAUGGGCUGAACCCAGAGAGGAUUUGUUCAUCGGGCCCAAAGAACUUGGCCGGCCUGAUUGAGGAAAUCGGUGGGAGUCCGACCUCCAGACUGAGUGGACCGGACAUGAUGCAUAUACGAAGCUUGAGGGCCUCCAGAUAAUGGGCUGGUAUCGUGAACCUGGCUCCAGACCGGGGUGAAGAGAUCCAGCGAUCAUCAUUUAUAUUCUUUGUAAGAAUUUUAUAAUUUAAAGUUAUAAAAUAUAAAUUUAUUAGAAAAAAAUUUAAAUAUUUAUCAAUUUUCACCGUUAUAUCCUAAUCUUAAAAUAUUGAACAAUAAAAUUAAUUAUUUCAUAUUUACCUCAAUUUGUCUUAAUCAAUUUUGAUAAAAAAUUUGUAGUCCACAUAUCAUACUAGAAUUAUUUCUUAAAAAAUUUCUUAGAUAAAAAAUUAAACGUUUAUAUUAAUUUAUAUUUAUAUCCAAAAUUUUAAAUUUUUUAUAAUAAAACUAAACUUUUCUCAAUUUGUCACAAUUAUAACUAAAAAAACUAAAUUGAAUUUGAAAAAAGUUAAUAACAAAUAAUAAUAUAAUCCCUAAAAUUUUAUAUUAAUAAAUAUAUUGUCAUUUAAUUUAAAUUUUAUAUUAAAAGUAAAUUUAUUUUAUAUUUAUUAUAUGUAAUAUUAAAUAAAUAUUUGUCACAAAUAAAUUUUUACUACAUAAAAUAUUACAUAUAAAUAUUGUAUAUUAAAUUAUUUUAUUGAAUACUUAUACUCAUUAUUAUAAAUUAUGUGCAUAUUUGUAGUAUAUGAAAAAUUGUAUUUUAUAUUAAUAAUAUUAAAUAAAAUAAAAUAUUACAUAUUUUAUUAUGUAAAUCAUCCUUUUAUCAUUUUUAUAAAAAUUUAAAUAUAUUAAUCGCGUGUAUAAGUUAUUUGAGAUAUUUAAUAUUUUUAUUUUGAUCAUCUAUAUAAUAAUUAUAUUUGUGAUGUAUAUUAACUCAUUGGUUAAUCCGAUAAAAAAUUAUAUUUCAUAUUAAUAAUGUUAAAUAAAAUAAAAUAUUAUGUAUUUUAUAUUAUAAUUUUUUUAUAUUUUAAAUUUUUAUUAAUAUAAAAAUAGAAUGCGAAGUAAAUAUAAAAUUAACAAAAAAAUAUUGUUGAAAUAAAAAAAUAUAUUUUAAGGACUAUUUUAUUAAUCAAAUAAAAUUUUAUGGAUUAUAUUGUAAUUUUUUAAUAAUUUUUUAUAUUCAAUUAUUUUUAUUAUUAUAAUAGAGACAAAAUUUAAUUUAAAUUUUUUUUUUGAAAUGGAUAAUUUUAUUAUCUAAAAUAUAAAAUUUUUUAUAAGAAUAUAAAUUAACGUAAACGUUUUAAUUUUUUUUUAUUUAUUUAAAAGGCUUUUUAAGUAUAAUGACAUGAUUCGUGCAAUAAUUUUUUUUUCAUUAAAAUUAAUUAAGGUCUAUAACUAAAAUUAAAGUAACGUAAUUAAAAGGAUUAAAGCUUAGAAUAUAUUAAACAAUUUUGAUUUUAUCUGCCAACUAAAAUGAAAUAACAGUAGUAAUUUAUUGUUAUACUACUAAAUUCUCUUAUGUACUUUUGCAAUUUUUUCUUUUUUUUUUUUUUGUAAUUCUGUUAUUUCUUCUCUCAUUUUGUAUAUUUGUCUUUAUUAUUAAAUGAAUUAUUAAAAUUUAAUUUAGUGGUAAUAUAUAAAUAAAUUGAAAAUAAAAUUAUGGUAGAAUAUAUAAUUUAUUUAAUAACAUAUCUAUGAGAAUUUUUGCAUUAGUGCAAUUUUUGUUAAUAACUUUCUUUUUAUUUAUUAUUAUCAUAUAAAAUUUUUAUGUUUUUUAAUUAAAAAUUUCACGAAUUAAAAUUAUAAAAGGCAACACAAAAAUAUUAAAAAAUAUAAUUAUUAUCCAAACUCAAUAGUUUUUUUUUCUACAUAUUUCACUGUUUUAUUAUUUUAAAUGUCUUUUAUUAAAAAAAAUUGUGUUUCAACAAAAUUUAAAAUAUAUCCUUUAAAAUAAAAAUUUAAAAUAUAUCCUUUAAAAUAAAAUUUUAAAAUAUAUCCUUUAAAAUAAAAUUUUAAAAUGAAUUUAGUUAAGUAUAGAUAAAAAAUACAAUUCGGUACUGUAUUAAAUGGAAAAAUAAAGAAUUGUUUAAUAGAAUUAUUAAGCUGCUGAUCACUUUUCUUUGGUCUCCAGAAGAUGUGAUGGAUGUGGACUCGACUUUUAUAACCAUAAGUUGUUUGUAGACGAAACAAUAAAAUCGGUACAAUAGAAAAAAAAAAGAAAAUUUGCACUAGAAGGCAACAAGUGAUUAAGGAGGAAGUUAAUAAAUUAUUAAAUACAUAAUUAAUAAAAGAGAUCCAGUAUCUUACAUGACUUGCCAAUGUAGUACUUGUUAAAAAGGCAAACGGGAAAUGAAGGAUAUGCAUGGACUUUAUUGACCUAAACAAAGAAUGCCCAAAGGAUCAUUAUCCACUCCCAUCUAUUGACAGGUUAAUAGUCUCUACCUCGAGUCAUAUAAUGGUUUACUUUUUGGAUGUUAUUUCAGAUUACCACUAGAUCAUGAUAGACGUUGAAGAUACAGAAAAGACUGCAUUUAUCACCGAUGUAGGAGUUUUCUGUUAUAAGGUGAUGUCGUUUGGACUAAAGAACGUAUGGGCGACUUACUAAAUAUGGAUGAUAUGGUGGGAAAGAGUCGGUCCUUACAAGAUCAUCCAGAAGGUUUUUGAUGUGCUGGAUGAGGCAGGUAUGAAACUUAAUCCUGAAAAAUAUACUUUUAGGGUAAAAGCUGUGAAGUGUUUAGGGUACAUAGUGUUAGAAAGAGGUAUAGAGGCAAACUCGAAAAAAAUUAGUGCCAUUCAAAAUAUGGAGGCACCUAAACCAUCAAUGAUAUACAGAAGUUAAAUGGGUGGGUCACAGCUCUUGGCCGGUUUAUAUCAUGCUCGGCCAGGAGAUAUCUACCCUUCUUUAAAGCCUUAACGUAAAUUUAUUUGGAGGAAGAGUGUACAGAGGCAUUUGAAAAUUUAAAAACUUUUUUAGGAUCUUCCCCUUUACUAAGCUCGUCCGUCGAAUGUGAGGUUUUGUUUCUGAACGUGUCUGUGACAUAGGAAACUGUAAGUUCAGUGCUUGUUUCAGAGGACAAAGGGGAACAAAAUCUAGUCUAUUACGCCAACCAAGUCUUGAAGAGGGCAGAAUUGAACUAUCCCCUCUUGAGAAAUUGGCAUUUGUAGUCCUAAUAUCUACCACGAAGUUGCAUCCCUACUUUGAGUCAUACACCAUAAAAAUCAAAACAGAUUAUCUCUUGCGAAAGGUACUGCAUAGGUUGGAGCUAUUAGAGAGAUUGUCCACCUAGGCAGUGAUACUGUCAGCCUUUGAUAUCAGGUAUGUCUCGAGAAAAGCAAUGAAAGCCUAGGUAGUGGCUGACUUUUAUUACAGAGAUGACUCCGCCAUUAAAGAUGUCGAAAUUGCCUAAAUCGCCUACUGAAGAGUGGAAUGUUUAGGCAUAUGGUGCUUACAGAGCAGGGGGUUUCGAGAUUGAAAUUCUCCUACAAAGUCAAACGGGAAUAAAGCUACGCUAUAUGGCAAAAUUCGCCUUCAAUCCUACUAAUAACGUAGUUGAGUACGAGGCUGUGAUUAUGACCCUAAAAAUUAUCUCGAAAAUAGGUAUAUAAAAAUCUAUUACUUUUAGUGACUCACAGUUGAUUGUUAAUCAGUGUCAAGGACAGUUUAAAAUUCAAGAAUCGAAUCUUGCCAAGUACGAAGAGAAUGUUUGCUCCUUAAUGGCAAGGAUCAAAGACUGGUAGGACAAUUGCGAGCUUCACCAGGUGGCUAGAGGUGGCAACAAAAAGGCUGAUUUUCUGGCCAAAAUGGCUGCAGUAGAUGAACAACACUUAACUCAACCAUUUCCUUUCGAAGAGCUACACACUCCUGCAACUGAUGAGGAAAGGUCUUUUCCCAUAGAGGAAGAAAAAUCGUGAAUGACACUCGUGUAUAAGUUUUUGACACAGGAUAAUUUGUCGGCCUAUGAAUUAUCAGCUAAACGGAUAAUAAGAAGAUCCUCUAAAUAUGCACUAAUUGAUGGUUGGUUGUACAGGAGAUCCUCAAACUAACCAUGGCUACAUUACGUAACAAAAGAUGAGGGUCGGGAAAUCCUUAAAGACAUUCAUGAAGGUGAUUACGGAAGUCAUGAAGGGGCUCGGAGGAUCGCUCGGAAAGCAUUUAGAAAGGGAUACUACUGGCCAAAGAUAAUGCAAGAUGCAAAACAACUUGUCCAAAAGUGUCGACAAUGUCAAGUACAUGCGAGCAUUCCAAGGACCUUGGAGAGAUGCAAGUAGUGAUUGAAAGCUCCUUACCUUUCUUUCAGUGGGGGUUAGACAUCCUUGACUCUUUCCCAAAAGCAACUAGAUCAAGAAAAUUUGUAAUAACAGCAGUGGAUCAUUUUAGCAAGUGGGUUGAAGCUGAGGUAGUUUAGUCUAUUACCACCCAACAGGCAAUGUCUUUCAUCAGCAAAAACAUCUUCACUCGGUUUGAAAUUCCAAAGGUAGUAAUCACUGACAAUGGGACUUAGUUUGCGAGUUCUAAAUUUAAAUAUUUCUAUAAAAAAUGGGAGAUUGACUUAAGAUUCAGUUUAGUCUAUCACCCACAGACCAACGGAAUGAUUGAGAUUACAAAUAGGAUUAUCCUACAAGGGCUGAAGAGAAGAGUCGAUAAAGCCAAAGGCAGCUGGCCUGACGAGUUGCCCCAUAUACUCUGGCCAUAUAAAACAACUCCAAGAAUAACCACAGGAAAAACUCCUCUCUCUGAUGUAUGGGGUCGAAGCAGUAAUUCUUAUGGAGGUCCAAGUAAGCAGUUUUAGGAUACAACACCCUGAAAUUUCAGAAAAUCUUAAAGAAAUGCAAUUCAAUUUGAAUCAAAUCAAAUUUUUACGAGAAUAAGUUAUAAUCAAAAUGACGAUUUAUAGAAACAAAAUAUUUAGAAUGUUCAACGGUAAAGUCAAGACACAUGUUUUUAAUGUAAAAAUUUAGUUCUUAAAAAAAUAAAUAUAACAUAAGAUAGUGUUGAAUUCGGUAAAUUAGACGAAAACUUAAAAAGAUUAUUUAAAAUCUUAAGGUUAUUCGCCUAAAGUUUUAUAACUUAUAUUUUCAAAAGCACUAUAUCGAGUAGGGGUGAGCAUUCGGUCGGUUCAGUUCAAAAUCGAACCGAAUCAAAAUAACUGAAAAUCGAAUUGAAUAACUUUAUAAAAACCGAACCGAACCGAAUAAGAGGGAUAAUCGAAUCGAACCGAAUCGAUCUGAUUCAGUUCGAUUCGGUCGGUUCAAUCGGUUAAACUGAUUUUUAACCUUUUCUUUUUUUUUUAAAUGGGAUUUUUAAGUUCAGUUAUCUCGAUUUCGAACCGAUCUUAUUCGAUUCGAUCGGUUCAAGUCACACAACAGCACAUGACAGCAGCGACAGGCGACGGCCGACGAUUGCGCGGAGAGAGAGACUAGAGAGCGACGGAGGAAUGAGGCAAGGAGGAGUCGGUGUCGCUGGGUCACGCAGCCGGAGGAAUGAGGCAAGGAGGAGUCGGGUCGCUGGGUCACGCAAUCGCAAUGUACAAGCUGAGUUACCCGACGAUGAUCAAUCAGUCAAUGUCACCGGGAAGAGAGUGGAGGUUGGACAGUGAAAGUGCCGUUGGAAGUGGUGGAUGGAUAGAGGCACAGGCGGCAUGGAAUCUGGAGAAGGGGGACAACGUGACUCUGUGUGGGAUGUGGCAGGCGAGAACGAGAGGAGAUGACUUUUAGAUCUAGAGCAAAUAAAGGAACUACUGAAAACGACGUAGUAUUACUGAUUUCGGUUCGGUUCAGUUUAAUCGAAAUUUUUGAAUUCAAAAUCGAACCAAACUGAAAUCACUGAUUUUUUAAAAAAUUAAAUCCGAACCGAACCGAAUAAAAAAUUAAAAUCAAACCAAAUUUUUGAAAUUAAUCGGUUUGGUCGAUUAUUUCGAUUUAAACCAAAUACUGCUCACCUCUAAUAUCGAGCGCUUUUAAAAACACCAUGGUAUUUUUAAUAUUUUUAUUUUGAAAGCUUUUUUUUCAGUAUCAUUUUUAUAAGAUAAUAUCAUUUUAAUAAAUUAUUUUAAAUCUACUCUAAACUUCUAAAAAGUUAUUUUAAAAAAAUUAUUUUAAUAAUUAAUCCGACUUAUAACGGCGAGGAACAAGUUAAGCAUGCAUACUUUUUGUUUCUAGCGAGUAAAAACAGGGAUACAUAUCAUUUUCAAAUAAUUAAAUAAAUAUCUAUAGCCCAAAGUUAAAGGUAAACUACAAAUAUCUCCUUUGAGGGACAAAAAAAAAUAUCUCUCCUUUGAGGAAAUAAAAAAAAGACAAGCAUCUCCUGGACCAAAAACAUUUCUCAUCUUCUCUCUGAAGAGGAAGUAAAAUGUCUGCUGCAAUCCUUCCAUCUUCGUACUCACCUUCUGCUUCAAUCCUUCCAUCUUCGUACUCACCUUCUGCUUCAAUCCUACCUAAUAAAUUCACUUCGAAACCAUUCACUUCCUUCCCUGCGAAUUCUAAGAAACUGCGUCGCAGCUCUGCGACAUGUCGUAGACCUCCUGCUGCUGUUUCUUCUUCAAUCACAGAUUUCGAUCUCUAUG
rnacentral:lncRNA from 1 species